rnacentral:lncRNA from 1 species
UUUGAACCAUGUGAACUGCUUUGAAACCAUAUGAAAGAAGACCAUAGGUAAAUAAUUUCACCAAGUUCUGAUUGUUUGUUCAAUAACUUUUUCAUCAACCUCAUUUCUCGUCCUACACACCCCAAUUUAUUUUCGGACUUUGGAUUGAGUAAAUGAAAGGAAAAUCAAGGGACGUAAGGAAACAGGGUGUGCAAAAGGAGAAAAAAGGAAGAUGUCUCAUUAUUUGUUUAUUAUGUUUUUGUUUCACUUUUUUAAUCGGACUUUGUGUGUGUGUGUGUAUUUUAUAUAUAUAUAUAUAUAUAUACACACACACAUAUGUAUUACCUGUACAAAGACCAAAGGAGAGAAGCCUAGAUCAGGACCAAGGACUUGAUUAUAAGCAAGACCAUUAAAAGCAGAAGAGUCCUCAAUGGCCAUGGCCAACAAUUCAUCAACGGUUUCCUCACAAUGCGCUUCUACAAUUCUCACACCGCUAUCGUUACACCUGAUGAAGGGCCUGCCUGUUUCAGAUCUCCGAAUCCUCCCGGAGGCGGUGAAGUAGAGUUGCAGCAGUUGGAAUAUAGGUUUCUUCAAGUCGUAUAUUGUAAGUCCCUCAACUGCCUCGCUCUUAAAUAAGUAGACCCCUUUGAUGUAGUGAAGCUUCAUGGCCAAGUCCAUGUCGGUGAGCUCAUGGACCUUGUUUCGAUCACUUGUGACCGUAGCAGGUACAACUGACGAUAGCCUCGUGCCGGAAUUGUUGAGGCAAUUGAUGUUGGUUGACCCCAUUUCUUUAGCUAGAGAUCAAACAAAAAUGAAUGGAGUUUUUGUUGGCUAUGUUGGUUUUAGUUUUGUGUUUAAUAGAUCAUCUUCCUACCGUUGGUAUAUAUAGAGAACUGCAUCCAUGGAACAGGUUCAUCGCGGUUAUAGAGUUGUUAAUGCAAUGUCAUGUGCAAGUUUCUCGUCACAUGACAAUGCCUUAUUAGACUGUUACAUUUUUCUAACGGUGAACUCAUAUGUAUAAUAUAUGUAAAUGGGGUGGAGUUCACCCAAUUGAAGUCCUCUAGGAAUGGGCCAUGUGUCCUACUAUAUAUGGUGAACCCCUAGCAUACUACCGUUGAAUAGGGUAAUGCUAAAGAGAUAAAUUUAGUAAACUAAAAUGACAUGAAAGUUGAUGAUCGAAUUUUUGUCUACAAAUUUAAUUUCCCUAGCAUUACUCUUAUUACUUAAGUGUUGAUUAAUGUGCUUAUUUCUUAUUGGUGACACAUCAUUUAGUUUGCAAAUUUAGUCUACAAAUUUAGUCUACCUUGUAUUACCCCCAUUGAAUAAGUUGGGUACGUAUACUAGAAAAACUUGCACAAUCCAUCCAUGAAUUGAAUUCAGUUUCAACAUAAAUGGGAUCUGUGAUACUCUAAUUUUGCCACAAGCAUUGACGUAAGUUUUAAACCAUUAGAUUAGUUCUCUUUUUUUGGUUGAGAUCUAAAUCUAGUAUGACAUUUAGUUAAUAUGAUUUUGUUGUGCAUUUUUUCUUUUGCAUGCACUAAUUGUAACUUUUAGAUUCUCGUCAAAGGCGAAAUUGAACAAUAUUAUUAUGUUGGUCUUGUAUGAGGCUUAAUCCACUCCCCUCACCUCUUUAGUGUAGAUACUAUCAUUUGUUAAAAAAAGUUAUAACUUUUAGAUUAGUUUGGUGUUUUGUAGGUUUGUAACAUUAUGACUCCUAAACAUGGAAAAUGAAAAGAAAAAACCACAUUGUAAAUUUUAGUUUGCUUUUGCAUGCACUAAUUGUAACUGUUAGUCCUUUAGAACUUUUAUUCAAAAUAAGGUUUAAAAGGGAAGAGAAGGAAGUUCUAUCAAAUUUACUAAACAGAAUAAUUGAUCCACAUUGUGACAAGUUCAUGACCAAUGAUCAAAGCUCCAAUUUGUCUAAAGUUCAGGACCAAUGUUCUAAUUUUUUUAAAAAAAUUUUAAAUGCAAGGAUAUAUUUACACUAAGCACUGAAGGAUUUGGGAUAAACCUAGCAAUAGAAACACAAUAUUAAACUCGUUAUCCACAAAAGCUAGACUUAAAAUAUCUCAUUUAAAAAUAAAGAAAAAUACGGCUUCUUCUUAGUAUUAAGUAUCCUCCAUGGUUCUUUUUCCAAAAUUUAUUCAAUCUCAAGACAAUACAAAAGAGAGCAUUCUACGACGAGAAAACAGGUGUGAAAAUCACCUUCGACUCUCUUGAUUCUUUUUUAUAUUUGGUUUUUAAUUUUUUUUGUCAUUUUCUCUCUGUCUUCAUCAAAGGAAAAAAACAGUCCCAUCAUGCAUUAAGUUUCUGAUGACAUAGGGGCACUGAUUCUGAUAGAAACCAACAAAUUGAUCGCAGCGUUAAAAUUCGUUGAAAGGAUCUGACCCACCCCACCUUUUGGAGCCAACAGCAGCAACCAAUAUGAUACGUGUACACCACUAUUCUAACGUUUUGUGCCAAAUAAUAUGAUGCACGUGAAGAGAAACUUACGUGUGAUGCUGUAUUAUUAACACACGAGACACCACUAUAAUGGCGUAUUGUUUUAAAAAUAGUUUUUGUUGUCCUCAAAAUUGGACCCCCCUUGCAAUAUUUCUGUUGAGUCCCUCAGUCUUUUGUCUAAAACAUUCAUUUUUAGGGGUAGAAAUGAGACUUUCUGGCCCGUAUGAAUUUUGUAACUGAUUUUUUUUUUUGAACAAAUGAUAUUAUCUGUACGGAAAGGAGGUAGGCUUAGGCUCACAAUGGGCUGGCAAUAAUGUUGUUCAAAUUCGCUUUUAGCGAUAAUCGAAUCUAAGACCUCCUACUUACAAGUGAAGAAGAAUAUCAUUAGACUGUAGUAUUAAGUGGCAACUGAAAUUUAAUUUUUUUUAAUCUUCAUUUGAAGAUCAAUCCCACAAAUGCAUGAUAGUUUCAGUCCUAUAAAUGUAUGAUAGGACAAUGGUUCAUCGUGACAUGUUACUUACUCAAAUCGUUGAUCUGUUUCUUAUAUUUAGAUGAAUAAACGAUCAACGAUUCAAAUAAUUUUAUAUAGAGAUAAUUUUCGGAUGAAUUUUUAAGAAAUUGAACAUUUCUACUUUUAAUUGUAAAAUUGUACGAUAAAGAUAUGUUAUUCGCAUAAGCCAAAAAAGUAUUAUCCUUAACAAUGCCUAAACAUUAAAAUUAUGGUAGAUGGGAGAAUGGGAGUUGUAUGUAUUUUCCAGCACUUUAAAAGUUUCAAUUGAUGUGUCAUUAAACCGAUUCAUCCUUGUCUUGGUAGUGCUGUAGAUAACUACAUAUCAUGUAUUGGGAGUUAUAUAUUGCUCACAAGUCACAAUCUUUGAAGUGUACAUAUGAAAGCCUUUCUAGUUCGAAAUAAAUUAGGUCCAGCCUCAUAUUUAAAAAAAAAAAUGAUAUUAUGUAUACUAAAAAGAAUAGGAUAAACUUAGCCUUACAAUGGACUAGAAAUAAUGUGAUUCAAAUUCACCUUUGGAGGGAAUUGAACCUAAAACAUCUCGCUUAUUACAAGUAAAGAGGAAUAUCACUAGACCGUAGUAUUAAGUGACAGUCUCAGAUUUUAAAUAUUUUAAAUAAGGAAACAAUAAUCACAUUUUUUUUUCUCCCUUACACACCCAUAGGGAUGGGCAAAAUACCCGCGGUUAUGGAUAACCGUGGUUACCCACCCAUUUAAAUUUCACGGUUACGGUUAUGGGUAACCGUUUAGAUAAUUAAACGGUUAUGGGUAUAACCGUUUACCCAUGAAAUUUAAAUAGAUGGUUAUGGGUAUUAACCGUUGUUAUAAACGGGUAACCAUUUACCCAUUUAUUUUAUAUAUGUAAUGUUGAAUAUUUAAAAUAAAUAAAUAAAUAAAUAAAUAUAUAUAUAUAUAUAUAUAGACACACACAUACGGGGCUGUUUGACAAGGGAUGAGAAUAUAUAUAUCAGGGAGCUUAAGGGGAGGGAUCCCCAUUUUUUCAAAAAAAAUGGAGACACGCUCCCCACCGUUAGAUUGACUUUAAUGAAAUUGUGUAGUUGAGAUUAAAACACAGGCCAUAGAAUCUCAACCACAAGAUUUCAUUUAAUUCAAAUCCAACGGUGGAGAGCGUGUCCCCAUUUUUUUGAAAAAAUGGGGAUCCCUCCCCUUAAGCAAUUCCUAUAUAUAUAUAUAUACACACACAAACACAUACGGGGCUAUUUGACAGGGGAUGGAAAGUUGGGUUAUUAACCCAACAAUCAUCUCUCUUCAAUUUGAAUACUGCAUCUUUUUUUUUUUUUUUUUUUUUUUUUUUUUUUUUUUUUUUGAAAACUGGAACAACAGAACCUGGGCUAAGAAGCCAACCAAACAGAAAGCCAACACAAGGCAAACAACAAGCAGAAGCUAGAAAAUCCUUGGAGGGAUUAAUAUUAUGACAAUUUUUUUUUUAAUUUUUAAGUUGUUAAAAAACAUGUAGACGGGUGAAAAAUGGGUUAUGGUAAAAAAAAAAAAGGAUAAAUGGGUUAAAAAGGGUAAAUGGGUAAACGGGUAUUAAACGGUUACGGUUAAAUGGGUAUGCGGUUAUGGGUAUGGUUAACCGUUUAUAAAUGGUUAUGGUUAUGGAUAUAACCGUUUAGGCAAUUACCCAACGGGUAAACGGUUAUGCGGGUAUGAGCAUAAACAGUUAUGGGUAAAUUAACCGCGGUUACCCGCCCGCAUAACCAUUGCCCAUCCCUACACACCCAUGAUUCAUUAUGUUUGUCGGUUCUGUUUGAAGCAUUUAAUUUUUUAGUUAGAAAUGAAGAGAAGUAUGUAAGAUGACGAAAAUGACAUGGUUCUGUUUGAGGUAUUUAAUUUGAUAGUUUGAAAUGAAGGGAAGUAUGUAAGAUGACGAAAAUGACAUGUGUUUAUCAUUUUGUGCAAUGUCAUCAAAUACGUAAUGUGAAAAAUCUUUAUUUCAGAUCGAGUACCGUAUGCUCAUGAGAUUGCCUUCUAUUUUUUGGAUUCUUUUAUAUAGGUCCAAUUGAAUUAAAAAUUGAACCUAUUUCAAAAAUUAAAAAUCAUUAAAAAUUAAAUAUACAUCAAAAGAUAGGUUAUAAAAUUGAAUAUCUUUCAAAUUUUCUCUUUUUUUUUUUUCAAACAAAAACCCUAGCACUGUAAGUCUUAGCCACCAGUCCCUUGUUUUGGCUUGGGGCCGGCGAUAGCCUAUCCUUCCUCCUCUUAGCGCCUCCCUCUCCUCCUAACCUCUCCGCUUCUCUAGCCUCUCCACUUCCCGCCUCCCAUCCCUUCCUUUUCCCCCACCACUCCUCCGCGACGCUCCCUUUCUUUUCCCCUUUCUCUCUAGAUUUUGGUGCCGCAUAGCACCUCUUCUCUACCACCAUUUGGUGGGCAGCCAAUUUUCACGGCUUUGAUGCAAACCCCCUCCCCCUCCCCCAAAUCCGAGAUUUACUACCUCACAUGGUCUAUUCCCUUGAUUUAGGCAAGAUUUGCGGCUCCCCUUGACUGAUACGUGGCGGCACCGGCUUCCCUGACCAGAUCUGUGGCUGUCUUGCUUUGCUUUGCUCACGGUUGUGGCAGAUCUCACUAGAAGCGGUAAAGUUGCGGGUUGAGAAGUGCUAAUCGUUGGAGACGAGCCAGCUGGAGGAUUUCAUUUCUCGGAUUAGUGUAGGUCAAUAUAGGUUUGUUUACACCGCAUCCAGUGGGUAAUGUCUCGCCUAGCCAAUGAUAUGGCCACGCGUGUGUGCGGUGGUUUUAAUGUGGCCUCGCUUGUUAGCGAUAAUUUGGUGUUGUCUUACUUAUGUGGUGUGGUGGUGAUAUUACGUGUGUUAUGGUAUAAGUCUAUUCCGUCUGCUGUCUUUGUGGCAGAUUUGUAACGGAAUGCUUAUGCUAGUGUGUUCACUUGUGUAGCCAAUUUAGGGGUUUAUCAUUUUUACUUGUUUGUGCAAAUUACCUCCAAAUCAAAUAUUUAGUCACUGAAGACUACCCAUAUGACAACCUUUGUAACUGUUACUAUUAGUAAUGAAAACCGCUAUCAUUUUUUGUCAAAAAAAAAUUGCAAAUUAAAAUCUAGCUACCCCUAACCCCCAACUAAUGUGACAUUUUAUGCUCCAAAUCAAAAAAAAAUAUUGAAAGUUGUGAAUUGCCAUGGUGGUUAGAGGUUUUUUGUUCGAAUCAUACCUUUCUCUUUGUAUAGAUUAGUGUAUAUGAUCUCUUGUAAUAGGAAUCAUAAGUAUUGGAUCAAGGACAAUUUAACCUAUGUUGUUGUAGACAUUGAAAUUUCGUUGAAAUAAAUGUUAGCCAUCGCAUUAAAAUUACAUUUGUAAACAUUGAAAUUUUAGUGAAAUAAAUGUUGACCAUUGCAUUAAAACUACAACAAUCCACCCAAAUUCACCUACAACCUCCACCCAAAUUCACCUACAACAUACACCCAAAUUCACCUACAACAAUCCACCCAAAUUCACCUACAACCUCCACCCAAAUUCACCUACAACAUACACCCAAAUUCACCUACAACAAUCCAUCCAAAUUCACCUACAACCUCCACCCAAAUUCACCUACAACAAUCCAUCCAAAUUCACCUACAACCUCCACCCAAAUUCACCUACAACAAUCCACCAAUUCACCUACAACAUCCACCAAAAUAAAUGGAUGGUGGUGGUUCAUUCCCAAAGCCUAUAAAUAGGCUCCUCCAUCAAAGAAUCAAAAGAGGAUUUUUACAUACACUUUCUCUACUCCCAAAUUGGAAGAGAAGUCACACCACACCAAAGCCUUGAAGCCUCGAAACUUAGAAGCUCUCAAGCAAAUCCCGAAGGAUCAAGAAAGCCCUCUUCGUUCUUCGUGAAAUCCUCCUUCAAGAUCAAGCCCCAACGCCCCUUGGAGAACUUCCACUCAUUCAAGAUCAAGCCCCGACGGCCCUUGAAGAAGGUGUUCAUCACUCAUCAACUGUUCGUCCAAGAUCAAGCCUCGACGGCCCCUGGAUCAGCAACACUACCUCUACGCGUUUCAAAGAUAGAAUCAGAGGCCAAAUUCGUAGAAGAGAUUGUAACCCCUAAAUCAUUAAUACAAAUAUUAUUUUGUACACGUGUUCUUGUCUCAUUCGUUUCAGGAAUUUUCCGUGUUUACAAAUUUGGCACGCCCGGUGGGACCGUCUCUACCUCUCAUCUCUAUCUUUGAAUCCACAACAAGCACAAAUAGCGUCAAGGAAGGCCCAAGUUGUUCUCGCUGCCAAUGCAAGAAACAAGAGCGCCAUCACGACAGGGGGCGUCACUUCAGGCAUCAUAACUCGGAGCAAGGCAAAAGCUCUUUCUGCCGCCUCUUCCGCCCCUGCAUCAACUCCGCCAAAGGCACAAGAGCACCCGAGGCACAAACCGGUGAUCACCCUGGCCUCGCUCAGGGCGCCAAGAGAGGAAAGCCAGAGGAAGUACUCUGAAUCCUUACUUUCUGAUGCCGACUCAAGCAGCGGCAUAGCUAUGCAAGUCAUGGUGGCUGGAGCGACUUCAAUUGAGGAGCAGCUGGCUCAGAUGAGUGAAACAAUCGCAAAACUCACAAGGACUGUGGAGGACAAAGACCUGCAAAUCGCAGCGCUCGUUAACCAACUAGAUGCAAAGCCCGAUGAGAAAGUCAGGCAAGGGGAUAAUCUAGUAAAGAGGGAAAACGACGAGGAUGAGGAACCUCCAGUGGAGAACGUCGAAGAGACACUGAAGCCGGACCAAGCGGCGACACUCAUGGGGUCUCUCUCUAUCCAGCAGUUGCAGGAAAUGAUCGCCAACACCAUCAAGGCGCAGUAUGAAGGAAGCUCACAUGACUCCGUACUAUACUCAAAGCCCUACUCCAAGAAGAUUGACGCUUUGAAGAUGCCAAAGGGUUAUCAACCACCAAAGUUUAUGCAGUUCGAUGGAAAGGGGAACCCGAAGCAACAUGUCGCCCACUUCAUUGAAACCUGCAACAAUGCUGCUGGAACAGAAGGAGACUACCUCGUUAAGCAGUUCGUGCGCUCGCUGAAAAGCAACGCCUUUGACUGGUACACCGACCUCGAGCCCGAGUCUAUCAACAGUUGGGAUCAGCUAGAAAAGGAAUUCCUCAACCGCUUCUACAGCACGCGCCGCACCGUAAGCAUGCUGGAGCUGACCAGUACGAAACAGUGGAAGGAGGAACCCGUCGUCGACUACAUCAAUAGAUGGCGUUCAUUAAGUCUGGAUUGCAAAGAUCGGCUUUCUGAAACCUCUGCCAUUGAGAUGUGUGUUCAAGGCAUGCACUGGGGGUUACAUUACAUUCUCCAAGGCAUAAAACCAAGAACGUUUGAGGAGCUGGCAAUGCGUUCCCACGACAUGGAGCUGAGUAUCGCCAAUCACGGAAAGAAUGAGCCGAUCACCCACUUCAAGAAGGAUAAGGUGUUCGCCCCGAGUGUGGACAAGACUGGAAAAAAGCCUGCCAAGGAAACUUUUACUGUCAACACUACCCCCAUCAAAACUCCAUCUGCGCCUAUCAAGACCACCUCUGCGCCUAUCAAGAUUUCCUCCAAGACCAAGGCAAAUGAGACAAAGAGAAGUGAGCCUCCUCGCACCCAAGACAAGUAUAAAAACACCUUGAGAGAGUUGGAGCAAAAGACGUACCCUUUUCCUGACUCAGACGUGGAUGCGAUGUUAGAUGACUUGCUGGAAAAGAAGGUAAUUGAGUUACCAGAGUGCAAGCGCCCUGAAGAAAUGAAUCGAACGAACGAUCCUAGGUACUGCAAGUACCAUCGUAUCGUAAGCCAUCAUGUGGGCAAGUGCUUCGUCCUCAAAGAACUCAUUAUGAAGCUAGCGCAACAAGGGAGAAUCGAGCUAGACCUUGAGGACACAGCCGCAACACAUACUACUACGGUGGCGUUCGGAUCCUUCGAUCCCGUGCCUCUCCAAACGACACCCGACCAUUCCUAUCAAUGUGCAAGCUACACGGCGCCAUCUACUCAACCAUCGCCGGGGGCAAACGAACAAGAUGCGUAUACUGAUGAUGAUGAAGGAUGGACAUUGGUGACCUACAAAAAAACAAGGAAACCAAAACCACAAGCCACAAGACCAAAGGUGGAACAAGUGAGAAAAAACCGUCGCCGCAACAGUAGGAAGCCUAAAAGAAACGUAAAAGUCAAUAAGCCAACGUAUGCUGGGGAACCCAUGGAGCAAGAGCCACGCAUUCCUGUCUCCUUGCGCGAGUACUUCCCGAAUGACUUCUUCCAACAGUGCACUAUCGCUGCAUGCCAUAUGGUCGAAGUAGAAACGGAAGAACCUCCAAAAGGCAAAGAUAUCACCACUGAGGGAGAAAAAACUCUCACGCUCGAAGAAGGUCUGCCAACACAUUUUAGCAUUGAGGAAGCGCUACGAUUACCAAAGAAGAUGCGAAUAGCAUUAGCAGCGGUCUUGGAAAGUCCCAAUGAACAUGAAGUGCAAGAAAGCAAGAACGAAGGCUUGAAGCUUCAGCCACAUGAAUGUGCCACAUGUUGUGCUAUCGAGGAUGCAAUCCAUUUCACCGACGAAGACUUGCUUGCUGCUAGGAUCCAAGCCUCACAACCGUCCUCUCUUCGUCUCUGGGUAUGUAAAGGGGCACAAAGUCAACCGCAUGCUCGUGGAUGGUGGAUCAGCCAUAAACAUCAUGCCAAAGUCAACAAUGACUACAAUCGGCAUCAAGGCAGAUGAGCUGUCCCUAAGUCGUCUACUAAUCCAAGGUUUUAAUCAAGGAGGACAAAGAGCGAUGGGCAUGAUCCGAGUGGAGAUGACUAUUGGUGAACUCAAGUCGAGCACGAUAUUCCACGUGAUUGAUGCAAGAACUUCCUACGGCUUACUCUUAGGAAGGCCUUGGAUCCAUGCGAAUGGAGUAGUACCGUCCACCCUUCACCAAUGCUUAAAAUUCUACCGAGAAGGAGUGAAGGUGAUAUAUGGCGACACCAAACCAUUCACUGAAGCCGAAUCACAUUUCGCAGACGCCAAGUUCUACAUGGAUGAAGACAUGGUACCCGAAGCUCUUCCAAAAGAAAUCAAAUCCACGGGCAAAGCAACACCUAAAAAGCAGGAGCGACAAGCCAUGCCCAAGAAGCAAGAAGAAGAAGUUACGCCGUCUUCAAGCAAGAACGAUAAUGAGCUGGCUAAACGAGCAACAACAAAGGGGAGUAGGAUGCCCUCAAAUGGACCAAACAUACCCGUCUUCCGAUACAUCCCGAUGUCGAGAAGAAAGAAUGGUCAAUCUCCGUUCGAAACUGGAGCAAACAAAGCCGAUGCACAGAGGCAUAUGGAUAAUGUAAAGUUGCUCAAGACGAAUGCAGUUUUACCUCUGACACAGCUAGGCGGCACUAAGGUCGCAAGACUACCACAAGGCUUCAUAAAAGCUCUACCAAAGGGGGUGGAACCGAGCUUUCUCCCAACCCAGAGGACCGAAGAAGGUUUUGAUCCAAACGCCUAUAAACUCAUGUCGAAAGCUGGCUACGACUUCGCUUCUUCUUCGAAUCAUGAAAAGAAGGUUUCAAACACCAUUAACAAUAAAGAACGUGACCUCACCGAGACUCAAAAGAAGUUGAAGAAGCACGGUUACGGAGUUGAUAACAACAAAGCUGGACUAGGCUUCACACCAAAUGCACCCGUGAAGAUUUCAAGCAAAGCGGAAAAUGCUAGCACCCAACACAUCAGCGUGAGUAUUGAACAAGAUCAUAAUGAGCCUAAAUCCACCCCUUGGACGUCAGUCUUCGAUAGGAUGAAUCGUUCAAGAUCCAGAAUGUCAGCACUUAACCGCAUUGGUGGUCAAAACCGAACCUCCGUCUUCAAGAGACUUAACAUGCCAGCAUCCCAAAGCUCUGUUUUUGAAAGGUUGUCAAAAACCUAAGAGGCAAAGCAACACGACUAGCUCUCUUCCUCGUCAGUCAGCUUUGGAAAGACUUGAAGACAGCAAGAAGUUUUCCAGAAAUAGGAAGACAAUGUCAAAGGAAGGAAAACUCGACAUGAUAGCAGAAAAAUGUGAUAUUCGAAGCUCAAUUCCUUCAAGGAUGAAGCGCCAAGCAAUCUUGGAGGUGGACACAAAUGGACCACUGAAAGUAAAAAGGCGCACCAUCAUCCACACUGGACAAUCUUCAUGCCGACCAGCCCAAGAGGACGACACCGAAGAGGAAUUCCAAGAUGUCUUCCACAUCACGAUCCAAGAAAGCGGAGAAGAUGAGAUCCCCGAAGAAGAUGUCGCUGCUGCGCCACCGCAACUUGAGGAUGGGGGGCAAUCCACGGUUGAUGAUCUCAAGGAGCUCAACUUAGGCACAAAAGAUGAGCAGAAACCUAUCUUCGUGAGUGCGCUGCUAAGUGCAGACGAGGUAGAUGAGUAUUACCAACUGUUAUCAGAGUACAAAGACGUCUUUGCUUGGACUUACAAGGAAAUGCCCGGCCUUGACCCUGUCAUCGCUGUACAUCAUCUUGCAGUUAAGCCUGGAACGCGACCGAUAAAGCAAACUCAAAGGCGCUAUCGAUCCGAGCUAAUUCCACAAAUCGAGGUAGAGAUUGAUAAGCUAAUCGAAGCAGGCUUCAUUCGAGAGGUGCAAUACCCCAAGUGGAUCUCCAACAUCGUCAUCGUCCUUAAGAAAUCUGGACAAAUACGUGUUUGUGUAGACUUCCGGGACCUCAAUGACGCUUGCCCGAAAGAUGACUUUCCCUUGCCGAUCAUCGAAAUCAUGGUGGACGCAACCACUGGCCACGAGGCACUGUCAUUUAUGGACGGCUCUUCUGGAUACAAUCAAAUUCGUAUGGCUCUCGAAGAUGAGGAACUAACAGCAUUCCGCACUCCAAAAGGUAUCUACUGCUACAAGGUCAUGCCGUUUGGUCUAAAGAACGCUGGAGCCACAUAUCAGCGAGCAAUGCAGAAAAUCUUCAAUGACAUGCUACACAAAAACGUAGAAUGUUAUGUAGACGACGUGGUGGUCAAAACAAAGAAAAGAUCAGAUCACUUGAAGGAUUUGCGAGUAGUGUUCAAAAGGCUGCGAAAGUACAACCUCAAGAUGAACCCGUUGAAGUGUGCGUUUGGCGUCACCUCUGGAAAGUUCCUCGGCUUCAUUGUCAAGCACCGUGGCAUUGAAGUGGACCAAUAAAAAAUCAAGGCCAUCCAAAACAUGCCCGAGCCAAGAAACCUGCACGAGCUGAAAAGUCUACAAGGACGACUAGCCUUCAUCAGACGCUUCAUCUCCAACCUUGCAGGGCGUUGUCAACCGUUUAGUCGACUCAUGAAAAAGGAUGUUCCAUUCAUAUGGGACGAAGCGUGCCACAAUGCUUUUGAAAGCAUAAAAAAAUAUUUAUCAAGUCCACCUGUCCUGGGGGCGCCUGUGCCCGGGAAACCACUCAUAUUAUACAUCGCCGCUCAGGAAAGUUCAGUGGGAGCACUCUUGGCCCAGGAAAACGAAUUCCAGAAAGAAGGAGCGCUUUACUACCUGAGUCGAACGCUCACCGGCGCCGAGUUGAACUACUCCCCAAUAGAGAAAAUGUGCCUUGCCUUAGUGUUUGCCAUCCAGAAGCUCAGACAUUACAUGCAUGUUUACACCAUCCACUUGGUUGCUAAAGCUGACCCGGUUAAAUAUGUCAUGUCCAAGCCAGUCUUGACAGGGCGACUAGCUAAAUGGGCGUUGAUUCUCAAUCAAUACGAGAUCAUUUGCGUCCCAGCUAAAGCCGUCAAGGGACAAGCAUUAGCAGACUUCCUUGCCGAUCAUCCAAUCCCAGCCGAUUGGAAAAUCUCAGACGACUUGCCUGACGAGGAGGUAUUCUACAUUGACAUAUUUCCGAGAUGGACGAUGUUUUUCGACGGAUCCGCACGAGCAGACGGAGCGGGGGCAGGAGUAGUAUUCAUGUCACCGCAAAGGCAAAUACUACCUUACUCAUUCCAACUAAGCGAAUUGUGCUCCAACAACGUCGCUGAGUACCAGGCACUAAUCAUCGGGCUUCAAAUGGCGAUCAACAUGGAAAUCACAACCCUUGAGGUAUAUGGCGACUCUAAGCUCAUAAUUAGUCAACUCUUGACUGAAUAUGAGGUGAGGAAAGAUGAUCUCGUUCCGUACUUCCGAUUGGCAACUCAGCUGCUACAAAAGUUCGAGGCCGUAACACUAGAACACGUGCCGAGAAAAGAAAAUCAAAUGGCAGACGCUCUCGCCAACCUAGCCUCGAGUAUGACACUAGGGGAAGACGAAGCUGCAGAUGUGCCAAUUUGCCAAAGAUGGGUUAUCCCCCUCGCCACCGAAAUGAUACUAGAUGAUACAAAUGUCAUCUCGGUACUUCCAGUCGAUGUUGAAGAAUGGAGACAACCAUUGAUUGACUACUUGGAGUAUGGAAAACUUCCAAAUGAUCUGAGACACCGCUCUGAAAUACGUCGACGAGCACCUCGCUUCCUCUACUACAAAGAAACACUCUACCGGCGCUCUUUCGAAGGAGUACUUCUGAGAUGCCUAGGUGAGGAAGAAGCCAAUCAAGCCAUGGAAGAAGCACACUCAGGCGUGUGCGGGGCGCAUCAAUCUGGACCAAAGCUACAUUUCCAGCUCAAGAGAAUGGGUUACUACUGGCCAAGUAUGGUGAAGGAUUGCCUGGAACAUGCCAAAAGGUGCCAAGCCUGCCAAUUCCACGCCAACUUCAUACAUCAACCACCUGAACCAUUACACCCUACAGCCGCUUCAUGGCCAUUCGAUGCAUGGGGAUUGGACGUCGUGGGACCAAUUACUCCAAAGUCGUCUGCAGGAGAAGCUUACAUCCUAGCUGCAACAGAUUAUUUCUCCAAGUGGGCUGAAGCCAUACCCCUAAGGGAAGUAAAAAAGGAAACUGUUGUCCGCUUCAUCAAAGAGCAUAUCAUCCACAGGUAUGGUGUGCCUCGGUACAUUAUCACUGACAAUGGAAAACAGUUCUCCAACCGACUUGUAGACGAACUCUGUGAGAAAUACAAGUUCAAGCAGCACAAGUCUUCCAUGUAUCAUGCUCCGGCCAACGGUCUCGCAGAAGCAUUCAACAAAACAUUGUGCAACCUCUUAAAGAAGGUGAUCGGCCGAACAAAGAGAGACUGGCACGAAAGAAUAAGCGAAGCACUUUGGGCAUAUAGGACAACGCAUAGGACUCCUACCCAAGCUACCCCUUAUUCUCUCGUAUAUGGCGUAGAAGCUGUUUUACCGCUAGAAAGUCAAAUCCCCUCACUUAGGAUGGCUAUACAAGAAGGCUUGACUGAUGAAGAGAAUGCAAAGUUGCGCCUUCAAGAGUUGGAAUCACUCGACGAAAGAAGGCUCGAAGCUCAACAACACUUGGAAUGCUACCAAGCACGGCUAUCCAAGGCAUUCAACAAGAAGGUCCGCCCAAGGUCUUUCCAAACUGGAGAUCUCGUCCUUGCAUUACGAAGGCCUAUCAUCACAACUCACAAGACAAAAAGCAAGUUCACAUCAAAGUGGGAUGGACCGUACGUAAUACAAGAGGUCUACACGAACGGCGCCUACUUAAUCAUAGCAGAAGACGGCUUGAAGAUCGGUCCCAUCAAUGGCAGAUUCUUGAAGCGUUACUACCCCUAAAGGCUACGGCACAAAGCUCCUGGCCCGCAAGAGCAUAAACUGUGUACGGCGAAAUCAUCAUCAAAAUCACUAUAAAAAAAUUUAAAAAAAAAAAAAAAAUCAUCGCUCAUUUGAACUACGUUAUGACUUGAUCCCUCAUCAACCGAGGGUACGUAGGCAACUUGAAACUUCAAAACAUCAAGUACAGUCACAUCACCAACAAAAACACAAACACUUUGAAGAAUAAAUAGCAAAUUCAAGAUAUGAAUAUUUUAUUUCUUUAAAGAAAUGAUUUGGUUACAAAGCCAUAUUACAAAGGUGAGCACUACGCCAACGUCACCACCAAGGGAAAACUGUGACCAAAAGGCAUUGCACAGCAAAACCCCACCUGCAACACAUGGUGCGCACACCCGAAACAAGUGGACCUCCAAGUCAGCCACGCGACCUCGUCUGCAAACACCUUCUUUUCCGUUGACUCUUCUUCUUCCUCUCAUAAAAGUUGCACAAUCACCCACAAAAGAAAAGGAAGACCCGCAGAUGCACAAAAUCUGAAUCCAGAUGUGGUGUUUCUCUCUCUCUCCUAUGCAGCGACGUCUCUCUCUCCUAUGCAGCGACGUCUCUCUCUCCAAGCCACAGCAAAGACGAACCUGUAGCAACAAGAAUGAAGUUGCAGCGGUUGAAGACGAGGAAAAGCAACUCGGCCUUGUCAUUCGAACCUACACUCGCAUUCACUUUCUCUGACCGAGUCAAGCAGAGCAGACUUUUGAUCCCUUCCUAGGUUCUUCGCCGGUUUAGCAACCUCAGCCUGACAGAGCACUAUAUAAAAAUAAAAAAUAUAUAUAUAUUUAUAUAUGCGGCAAACCGUCCUCAGCAAUAAAACAUACCUCACAAAGUGAAGGCAGCGCCCUCAUUCAUCUUCUCCAUUGGUGGAAACAUUUGCAGCGCCAUCGAGGACGAUAAACGGAAGCCCAAGCGGUUGUAGCAACCAUGCUGCAGUCCUUCAUCCUUCCGUCCUCAUGCUCUUUGCAACUCUCCCUGAAGCUUGCAGGAUAAUGAAGUUUGUUGUUGCUGCCCUAAUUUUGAUAAUGGUGAGCUUUUCCUUUGCCGCAGUGAAGACUUCGGAUGAACACGAUGAACAUCGACGUGACCGACUGCAGGGCGAUGGGGUUGAAGAAGCUGCACCACUUUUUAUCCAACACCGAGCUCACCACACGGCAGACGAGAAGAGCACGUCGCAGCAAAGAAACAGGACGGUGCAGUUAAGAUUCAGGGCAGUAAGCUAGUGCAGUGUCUAUGUAAAGACUACGCAAUGCCCUAUGUAUGUAUGCAUGUGUGUAUGAAUGCGUGUGUAUAUAUAUAUUGGUCUCAACAGGCUGCAAAUAAAACCGGUCUGCAUGUAGUGCAGUGACUGUGCAAACAGUGAUCCGCAUGCGAUGCAAUGACUGUGUAAAAAGCAAUCCGCAUGCAAUGAAGAUUGUGAUAAGGUGAUUGUGCAAGUGAAAAGAUGGUCCGCAUGCGAGAAGAACGCAAUGCAGUGAGGAAUGCCACCAAAAAAACCAACUGUGCUAUCGUCAAGCCACUCACGAGUGUGUAUUACUAUUCGCAAGUCAAUAAUGGAAAAGGAAAUGGGUGGUGAUGACAAAAUGAUGCUUCCAGUCACCAUCUAAAAAGAAAUGGGUGCACUAGUCACCAUCUAAAAGGAGGUGGGUGCAUAGGGAAGUAAUGCAUCUUAGUCAGAUAUGCGUUUUAUUUGCGUUUCAACACAACAUACUGAAUAAAAUAAGACAUGUCCAUUAAUAUCUCCGAGAAAUUACACAAAAAAAAAAAAAAAAAAAAAAAAAAAAAAAAGCCUUCACGAAUGUCACUUGUGUGAAGCCUCAGUACUUGGAGCCUUGGUACUCGGUGGAACCCUAAAGGAAGGAGGCACCGAAGAUAGCUUAUUCGGAGCCUCAAUACUUGGUCGAACUCCAGAUGACGAAGGCAAAAAGUGCCUCUGGAAUACAUCCACAAACUUCCGAUGGUCACUUUGAAUUCGAUCUUCGGAGUCCGUCAGCUGAUCAAGCUUCCUCUUCAUGCUCGUCGAAUAAUUAUUUGCAAGCACAUGCAACUCUCUAUUCUCACGCUUGAGCUGCCUAAUCUCUUGACUAAGAGCUGCCACCUCAGUUGUCAAUGAUUCAACCUGGCGAGUUCGAGCAAGUAAGCGUUGGCCCAUGUUGGAAACAGAGUUCGCACACUGGACACUGAGAGCCUGNNNNNNNNNNNNNNNNNNNNNNNNNNNNNNNNNNNNNNNNNNNNNNNNNNNNNNNNNNNNNNNNNNNNNNNNNNNNNNNNNNNNNNNNNNNNNNNNNNNNNNNNNNNNNNNNNNNNNNNNNNNNNNNNNNNNNNNNNNNNNNNNNNNNNNNNNNNNNNNNNNNNNNNNNNNNNNNNNNNNNNNNNNNNNNNNNNNNNNNNNNNNNNNNNNNNNNNNNNNNNNNNNNNNNNNNNNNNNNNNNNNNNNNNNNNNNNNNNNNNNNNNNNNNNNNNNNNNNNNNNNNNNNNNNNNNNNNNNNNNNNNNNNNNNNNNNNNNNNNNNNNNNNNNNNNNNNNNNNNNNNNNNNNNNNNNNNNNNNNNNNNNNNNNNNNNNNNNNNNNNNNNNNNNNNNNNNNNNNNNNNNNNNNNNNNNNNNNNNNNNNNNNNNNNNNNNNNNNNNNNNNNNNNNNNNNNNNNNNNNNNNNNNNNNNNNNNNNNNNNNNNNNNNNNNNNNNNNNNNNUGAAGAAUGGAGACAACCAUUGAUUGACUACUUGGAGUAUGGAAAACUUCCAAAUGAUCUGAGACACCCGCUCUGAAAUACGUCGACGAGCACCUCGCUUCCUCUACUACAAAGAAACACUCUACCGGCGCUCUUUCGAAGGAGUACUUCUGAGAUGCCUAGGUGAGGAAGAAGCCAAUCAAGCCAUGGAAGAAGCACACUCAGGCGUGUGCGGGGCGCAUCAAUCUGGACCAAAGCUACAUUUCCAGCUCAAGAGAAUGGGUUACUACUGGCCAAGUAUGGUGAAGGAUUGCCUGGAACAUGCCAAAAGGUGCCAAGCCUGCCAAUUCCACGCCAACUUCAUACAUCAACCACCUGAACCAUUACACCCUACAGCCGCUUCAUGGCCAUUCGAUGCAUGGGGAUUGGACGUCGUGGGACCAAUUACUCCAAAGUCGUCUGCAGGAGAAGCUUACAUCCUAGCUGCAACAGAUUAUUUCUCCAAGUGGGCUGAAGCCAUACCCCUAAGGGAAGUAAAAAAGGAAACUGUUGUCCGCUUCAUCAAAGAGCAUAUCAUCCACAGGUAUGGUGUGUGCCUCGGUACAUUAUCACUGACAAUGGAAAACAGUUCUCCAACCGACUUGUAGACGAACUCUGUGAGAAAUACAAGUUCAAGCAGCACAAGUCUUCCAUGUAUCAUGCUCCGGCCAACGGUCUCGCAGAAGCAUUCAACAAAACAUUGUGCAACCUCUUAAAGAAGGUGAUCGGCCGAACAAAGAGAGACUGGCACGAAAGAAUAAGCGAAGCACUUUGGGCAUAUAGGACAACGCAUAGGACUCCUACCCAAGCUACCCCUUAUUCUCUCGUAUAUGGCGUAGAAGCUGUUUUACCGCUAGAAAGUCAAAUCCCCUCACUUAGGAUGGCUAUACAAGAAGGCUUGACUGAUGAAGAGAAUGCAAAGUUGCGCCUUCAAGAGUUGGAAUCACUCGACGAAAGAAGGCUCGAAGCUCAACAACACUUGGAAUGCUACCAAGCACGGCUAUCCAAGGCAUUCAACAAGAAGGUCCGCCCAAGGUCUUUCCAAACUGGAGAUCUCGUCCUUGCAUUACGAAGGCCUAUCAUCACAACUCACAAGACAAAAAGCAAGUUCACAUCAAAGUGGGAUGGACCGUACGUAAUACAAGAGGUCUACACGAACGGCGCCUACUUAAUCAUAGCAGAAGACGGCUUGAAGAUCGGUCCCAUCAAUGGCAGAUUCUUGAAGCGUUACUACCCCUAAAGGCUACGGCACAAAGCUCCUGGCCCGCAAGAGCAUAAACUGUGUACGGCGAAAUCAUCAUCAAAAUCACUAUAAAAAAAUUUAAAAAAAAAAAAAAAAAAAUCAUCGCUCAUUUGAACUACGUUAUGACUUGAUCCCUCAUCAACCGAGGGUACGUAGGCAACUUGAAACUUCAAAACAUCAAGUACAGUCACAUCACCAACAAAAACACAAACACUUUGAAGAAUAAAUAGCAAAUUCAAGAUAUGAAUAUUUUAUUUCUUUAAAGAAAUGAUUUGGUUACAAAGCCAUAUUACAAAGGUGAGCACUACGCCAACGUCACCACCAAGGGAAAACUGUGACCAAAAGGCAUUGCACAGCAAAACCCCACCUGCAACACAUGGUGCGCACACCCGAAACAAGUGGACCUCCAAGUCAGCCACGCGACCUCGUCUGCAAACACCUUCUUUUCCGUUGACUCUUCUUCUUCCUCUCAUAAAAGUUGCACAAUCACCCACAAAAGAAAAGGAAGACCCGCAGAUGCACAAAAUCUGAAUCCAGAUGUGGUGUUUCUCUCUCUCUCCUAUGCAGCGACGUCUCUCUCUCCUAUGCAGCGACGUCUCUCUCUCCAAGCCACAGCAAAGACGAACCUGUAGCAACAAGAAUGAAGUUGCAGCGGUUGAAGACGAGGAAAGCAACUCGGCCUUGUCAUUCGAACCUACACUCGCAUUCACUUUCUCUGACCGAGUCAAGCAGAGCAGACUUUUGAUCCCUUCCUAGGUUCUUCGCCGGUUUAGCAACCUCAGCCUGACAGAGCACUAUAUAAAAAUAAAAAAUAUAUAUAUAUUUAUAUAUGCGGCAAACCGUCCUCAGCAAUAAAACAUACCUCACAAAGUGAAGGCAGCGCCCUCAUUCAUCUUCUCCAUUGGUGGAAACAUUUGCAGCGCCAUCGAGGACGAUAAACGGAAGCCCAAGCGGUUGUAGCAACCAUGCUGCAGUCCUUCAUCCUUCCGUCCUCAUGCUCUUUGCAACUCUCCCUGAAGCUUGCAGGAUAAUGAAGUUUGUUGUUGCUGCCCUAAUUUUGAUAAUGGUGAGCUUUUCCUUUGCCGCAGUGAAGACUUCGGAUGAACACGAUGAACAUCGACGUGACCGACUGCAGGGCGAUGGGGUUGAAGAAGCUGCACCACUUUUUAUCCAACACCGAGCUCACCACACGGCAGACGAGAGAAGAGCACGUCGCAGCAAAGAAACAGGACGGUGCAGUUAAGAUUCAGGGCAGUAAGCUAGUGCAGUGUCUAUGUAAAGACUACGCAAUGCCCUAUGUAUGUAUGCAUGUGUGUAUGAAUGAAUGCGUGUGUAUAUAUAUAUUGGUCUCAACAGGCUGCAAAUAAAACCGGUCUGCAUGUAGUGCAGUGACUGUGCAAACAGUGAUCCGCAUGCGAUGCAAUGACUGUGUAAAAAGCAAUCCGCAUGCAAUGAAGAUUGUGAUAAGGUGAUUGUGCAAGUGAAAAGAUGGUCCGCAUGCGAGAAGAACGCAAUGCAGUGAGGAAUGCCACCAAAAAAACCAACUGUGCUAUCGUCAAGCCACUCACGAGUGUGUAUUACUAUUCGCAAGUCAAUAAUGGAAAAGGAAAUGGGUGGUGAUGACAAAAUGAUGCUUCCAGUCACCAUCUAAAAAGAAAUGGGUGCACUAGUCACCAUCUAAAAGGAGGUGGGUGCAUAGGGAAGUAAUGCAUCUUAGUCAGAUAUGCGUUUUAUUUGCGUUUCAACACAACAUACUGAAUAAAAUAAGACAUGUCCAUUAAUAUCUCCGAGAAAUUACACAAAAAAAAAAAAAAAAAAAAAAAAAAAGCCUUCACGAAUGUCACUUGUGUGAAGCCUCAGUACUUGGAGCCUUGGUACUCGGUGGAACCCUAAAGGAAGGAGGCACCGAAGAUAGCUUAUUCGGAGCCUCAAUACUUGGUCGAACUCCAGAUGACGAAGGCAAAAAGUGCCUCUGGAAUACAUCCACAAACUUCCGAUGGUCACUUUGAAUUCGAUCUUCGGAGUCCGUCAGCUGAUCAAGCUUCCUCUUCAUGCUCGUCGAAUAAUUAUUUGCAAGCACAUGCAACUCUCUAUUCUCACGCUUGAGCUGCCUAAUCUCUUGACUAAGAGCUGCCACCUCAGUUGUCAAUGAUUCAACCUGGCGAGUUCGAGCAAGUAAGCGUUGGCCCAUGUUGGAAACAGAGUUCGCACACUGGACACUGAGAGCCUGGGACUCUUGAACAGCUAACUCGUCGGACCGUCGUGAAAGUAUCCUAUUAUCUUUAGGAGUGAGGAGGUUUCUAGCUACAACCGUAGCCGUUGUUGCAUCCCUCAUCACAGAGUCUUCAACUGUAAGAGGGCCAUUAGAAGAAAAAAAAGACGGGCGCCAUACAUUACCCUGACGCGGUGCACCUGUGUCGCUGCUAAGACUCAAAUCUAAGCAAAUGUUAAAAGGGGAAGUCAUUUUCAAAAAUACUAAAAGAAAAAGGUUGGAUGCAGUAAAGAGUAGCAGAGGUAAUUUUUCACGGACAGACAAUCUUCAAAUUGUGCGUGUUGAAUACAAUUGACACCUCUUUAAAAGGAGAGGCAGCACAACCAUUCGUUCGUAAAUCGAAGAAACACCACUCCCCGAAUUUCAAAACCCGGAUUUUUCUGCGUAAAGUCCGUCGACACUUCUCAGACACAAUCUCAGCUUUCGGCUAUCACGUGCAACUUUGUCAGAUAUCACUGAUAAAGUUGAAAACGUGUAAGGUCCAUUACGCCAACUACCGCACUUCUGCCGACAAGCGUGGGUGACAAGGCCACGCUCACCCUACCACUUGAUGUUGAGAGCUCACCAUAUAAUUCGACCUCCAUCUUAUAGCAAGACACACAUCUAGCUUGACUCAUCUUCCUUGCCGAAGGCAUCUGCAACCAAAACUCAGUUUUCUUCCUCCCUGAAAACACAUCCAACCUGACCUUUCUUCCUUGCCGAAGACAUUUGCAACCCAAAACUCAGUUUUCUUCCUCCCUGAAAACGCAUCCAGCCUGACCUUUCUUCCUCGCCAAGGGCAUCUGCAACCAAAAUUCAGUUUUCUUCCUCCCUGGAAGCGCCUCUUCAACCAAGCCACACCAGAGUAAAGGUAUCUCAUAUAUCACUGGGGUUGAGAGCAAGAGUAUCUCAUAGCAUGCUUUCUCCCUAUCCUUUUCUUUGUCCUCCCUCUUCACUACGAAGACAAGGAUAAAGAAAGCAAUAUGUCGGUACCUCCACUCAAGCUCCUGGUAAGGAACCGACUGCUUGGAACCUUUCCUGAUUGCUCACCUAGCCGUGCUCUCGAAUACGCAUCGUCAACAUUUUCUGCUUCCUCUUCGUCUACCACGUCUGCCUGGAAAACAGAUGAUGCAGGUGAAGAUGAUGCAGAUGAAGAUGAUGCAUCGAAGCAUAUGGAGACAGGCGCGACGAAUGCAUGUGCUGAUCGUCCGCUACUUCUUCAAAAGCAAAAGUAUCUCAUAUCACUGGGGUCGAAAGCAAAGGUAUCUCAUAUCAUGCUCUUCCCCCAUCUUCUCAUCUGCCCUUGCUCUUGCCUGCAGAACAAGGGGAAAGGAAGCAAUCAGUCGGAACCUGAAAUUAAAUGUCCGACCAGGAACUGAUUGCCCGGAACCUUUGCCUGGUUACUUACCUAGCGUUGCUCUCUCGAGUGCUCAUCUUCAACUGCUAAUAUGUCUCGAAUUCCGUCAGCAAAUGCUUCAAGAGUGUGGAUCUGUUGACAUCGGCUCUUUGCACUGAAGCUGCCAAGCAUGAGUGAGUCGCUGAGAGGUGGUGCUCCGAGGAACCAUUUAAAGGCAAAAGGUUGCACAUCGCUUCAGCCAUGCAAAAGAAAUAAGCAGAGAAGAAUGCAACACAAACAAGCUGGAACAAAUCAUGAAGCACGAAGCCCUUCCCUGCAUGACCACAUAAUCCAGACGGAGGAGUUCAAGUAAAGAUCCAAGCUAGACACCGUUGCUCUAACCAAAAUGCUCGAGAAGCUUUAACAAACCUUCGCCGGUACCGUCACCGAAGAGCAAAGCCUCGAUAAUCCUUAAAGAUUAAGUCACCAACUGGAAGAAGAGCCCAUCAAUCUUGAAGAUCAUACUGUUGACCAAACUGCUCAGGGUUCAUAUGAAAAUGCUGCGAGCUUCCUUGAUCUUUCAAAGCAUGCAUGUCCUGAAACUGCUCGUGGUCAUGUUUAAGUUCGAAAUCAAGCCUCAACGACCCUGACUCAAGAUCAAGUGUCCACCACCCUUGAGUCAAAUCCAGUUCAAGAUUAAGUCUGUGUGGAAAGUCCUUUGGAGGAAACCAGAAAAACUCCUCCAGCCUAGUUCAAGAUCAAAGCUGUGGAAAGUCAACAAGCACAACAAAAUACGUGCUGAUUCAUCCAUUAUCAAAGCCAAGGAUCGUCUACUACGUGAAGCUCCUUGUGGUCCAAUUUCAUCCAAGAUCAAGCCUCAACGGCCCUUGAAGAAAUUUCAAACAAAAUUCAAGAACAAGCCUUAACGGCACUUGAAGAAACUCCCAGACCUCUUCAAGAUCAAGCCUCAACGGCCCUUGGAUCGACAUCUACAUUAAGGGACUUCAAAACGCAUCUUCUACACGUGACAAGCACAUGUAUACUAUGCGCCUUGAAGUGUGGGCAUUUGUAGACAUUGAAAUUUCGUUGAAAUAAAUGUUAGCCAUCGCAUUAAAAUUACAUUUGUAAACAUUGAAAUUUUAGUGAAAUAAAUGUUGACCAUUGCAUUAAAACUACAACAAUCCACCCAAAUUCACCUACAACCUCCACCCAAAUUCACCUACAACAUACACCCAAAUUCACCUACAACAAUCCACCCAAAUUCACCUACAACCUCCACCCAAAUUCACCUACAACACAUACACCCAAAUUCACCUACAACAAUCACCCAAAUUCACCUACAACCUCCACCCAAAUUCACCUACAACAAUCCAUCCAAAUUCACCUACAACCUCCACCCAAAUUCACCUACAACAAUCCACCAAUUCACCUACAACAUCCACCAAAAUAAAUGGAUGGUGGUGGUUCAUUCCCAAAGCCUAUAAAUAGGCUCCUCCAUCAAAGAAUCAAAAGAGGAUUUUUACAUACACUUUCUCUACUCCCAAAUUGGAAGAGAAGUCACACCCACACCAAAGCCUUGAAGCUCGAAACUUAGAAGCUCUCAAGCAAAUCCCGAAGGAUCAAGAAAGCCCUCUUCGUUCUUCGUGAAAUCCUCCUUCAAGAUCAAGCCCCAACGCCCCUUGGAGAACUUCCACUCAUUCAAGAUCAAGCCCCGACGGCCCUUGAAGAAGGUGUUCAUCACUCAUCAACUGUUCGUCCAAGAUCAAGCCUCGACGGCCCCUGGAUCAGCAACACUACCUCUACGCGUUUCAAAGAUAGAAUCAGAGGCCAAAUUCGUAGAAGAGAUUGUAACCCCUAAAUCAUUAAUACAAAUAUUAUUUUGUACACGUGUUCUUGUCUCAUUCGUUUCAGGAAUUUUCCGUGUUUACAGUUGUGAAACAUAAAUAGUGAUUGUCCUUAUUCCACGUAUAGUAGUAAAUCAUCAUAAACAAUCACAUUAACGUAGAGAAGCGUUUUGGGUUAACAUUAAUGUAUUUGAUGCCUUAUAUAAAGAUGGCCUAAUGAUAAUGGAAGACACUUGAGUUCUGCUUCACUUUCUCUCUUGUCUCUCUUUCUAUUCUCUCGUAUUUCAUACUUUAUUUCCAACACGUUACAAGCGCGAAUGUUAUCUCAAAUUUUGUUUUAGAUUUCAAAGCGAGAGUGGAGAUAAGAGAAUGGCAGUACAAGAUCAACUAGUGCAGAAAAGCAACUAUGCUUUGGCGAUUCAUUAUCUAUUUUCCUUUCUUAAAACUUUUGUUGUGAUAGUAUUUUUUUUUUUUUUUAGGUCGAGUGAUAGCGUUAGUAAGUUAGAUGUUAGAUAGCAUUUGUAAUGAUAAUUUUAGUUAUAUGUUUUUAUCCUCGGUCAUGUUUCUACUAAUAAUAUAUAACUCUGCUGCAUAUUUACUAUUGAAGUGAUUAGCCCCUCUAUUAUUGCCUAACAGAUCUUGAAUUUUAUCCAUUUAUUUUUAUAUAGACCUUUUCACAUGGCAAAUACUUAACUAAUUAUACUCUGAAUAUGUAUUCUUUUAAAAAAAAACUAAUGAAAAAUAACUUGAAAACUUUGAGUUUUAAUAAAAAAUAAAAAAAAAACUAUGUAAUAAUUAACUUUAUUUAAUGGUUAAUAGAAAACCCAAACAAGUUCAAUUAAAAUGACUCAACCAGAAUAACAUACUAAUUUCUCCAUUUUGCCCCCGACGUUUUCAGGUUAUAUUAGUUUUGUUUUCCGUUAGUUUAGUCAUGCGGAAGAACACAGUUAAAUCGCUUGUGCUUUUGUUUGCAAAAUUUGAUAUCGUUAAUAAAAAUGGCAGAGUUGUACGCCCAUGGAUUUGCUUAUCGUUAAUUCCCAUGGAUUUGAUAUCGCAAAACUUAGGCCUUUAUAACGUUUUUAGGGGUGGCGCUCGUUUGGUGCAGGUGGUGGUGUAUACCAGAGUUUUUCUUGUCCGCGAGAUCCCACCGGAGUGCCUUCGGUUUGGGAGAUGAUGGCAAAUCCAAGACGACGAGAAGACGACAAAGAUGAAGCAUCAGAAGAUGGUGGGAUCCAAGUUUUGGGUGCUGGUUUGAUUUGGUUGGUCACGGUGAUUUUAAUGGUGAUGCAAUGCGUCAGUGAUGAGGUUGGGGUGAAGAGCAGCGGCGGCUGCUCUGUUAUGGCACUGGCAGACCAGACGGAGAAGAAGAAGACUACCCGUUUAAGCAAAACGGUGUGAUUUGAUAUGGGUUUAAAAAACACCCUCCUAGCUACGUGGGAGGCUGAAAGCCUCACUAUUUCUUAUUCAGAAAAAAAAACAAAAACAAAAACCGCGUGGUGUACUUUAUGCGGUCCACUUUAUCAGUUUUAAUCAAUGUAUAAAAUAUUGAUGAUAUCGAAAAUAUCGGUAGUCUAAAAAUACAGAAAUUUCAAUGGAAAUAUCGGGAUAUUAUCGAUAACGAUAAAAAUUGAAUAAAAACCACGGAAAUUGUAAGAAAAACUUGGAAAUUUUUAUUGAAACUUUGUAGGAUGUUUAUUUAGUCAAUUAUCUAUUAGUUUAUCACAAAAAAUUGGAAGGAAAUGCAUUGCGUGAUAGAUAUAACUGAUUUAAAUUGAUUAUAUAGCGAGCUGGCAAACAUUGUGAGUGUAGAAAAUAUGUAGUAAUUAAUGAAAGAGUUUAAACACACCAUAAUCAUUUAUAUAUAAUGAAUUAGUACAAUAGUUUACACUUUAUACAUUGCAUGGUAAGAUACAUGAGUGACUUAGCAAGGUCAAAAAUAUCGAUGAUAUCAGAAAUAUCGGUAGUCCAAAAAUACGGAAAUUUCGAUGAAAAUAUCGGGAUAUUAUGGAUAUUUUAGACCAUGGUUCUAAUUAUAACUCCCACUCCCUAAUUAACUAUUUGCUUUAUCACAUUCUAAUUUUGUAUCUUUUCUCCUCCACCUCUUAAUCCCCUCAUUUCCAAAAUUCAAGUGUUGUAUUUUAGUUUAAAUUAAUAAUAUAAAAUGUUAAAUUCAUAAUAUAUUUUUGUUUUUGAUAAUUUAUUAUGAUUUUUUAAUAUUAUUUGCAUUGGUUAGUUCUUGUGAAUACUUUUAGCCUUAUUAAUUAAUAUGGUUUUUUUUUUUUUUUUGGAUUAACUGAUAUGUGUAGAAAACAUUUCAACCAUGAGUACCAUUAAGAGUUGACUUCACAAUAAAAUGACAAUCAAUGGUCAAAUGAUAACUUAAUUAUUUACAUUGAGAAAUAUGUUAUUUCUUGUAUGGACAAUGAAACCACAUAACAAGUUUUUAUAGUAUGAAACCUCUUUGUGCACAAAUUUAGCCUUUGUAACUUGUAACGUUGUUUGUAGAAAGAUUAUGAAUGAAAAAUUGUAGUUCAUCGUUUAAUUAUUCAAUGUUGCUUUCAUUAAUUUUUCUAGAGCUUUUAUAUUGGGACCACCUCAUGUUAAAAUCCUGGAUUCGUCACUAGUCGUCGUCAUGCUGUGAAAAGCACUACUACAGGAAUUUGAAGUCACCAUUUCAAGUAGGGUUCUCGUGUCUUUGCUCCAAUAUAAAUUUUUGAAGAUAUUAAAAACUAAAUAAAACUAAAAUUGAAUAUUUAUAAAGUAUUUGAUAAACAUAAGUCCAAAAUUUGAUUACAUAUUCUUGUUUGUCAUUUGGGGGAGUAAUCUUGUAUUAUUUAUGGAACUUCUAAAAGUUAAACAAAAAUAAUUCACAUUAUUUCUGGAAAUGAACAAAAUAAACAUUAUUUCAGAAAUUAAAUCAAAAUAACCACACUGUUCAUGAAACCGAACCAAAAUAACUCAUACUAUUUCUAAAACUACAGCAAACUAACCAACACUAUUUUUGAAAGUGAAUCAAAAUAACUCACACUAUUUUUGGAAGAAAACAAAAUAAACACUAUUUCUGAAACUAUAGCAAAAUAAUCCACACUACUUCUCGAACAACAACAAAAUAACCCACACUAUUUCUGGAACAACAGAAAAAUAAACCACACUGUUUCUCGAACUACAUCAAAAUAACUCAUACUUUUUCUAAAACUACAGCAAAAUGAACCACAUUAUUUCUAAAAUGAAACCAAAAUAACUCAUACUAUUUUUGGAACUACAACAAAAUAACCUACACUAUUUCUAAAACUAAAACAAAAUAAUCACACUGACACACCCCGACCCGGAAUGUCCACUAGAACUCCGAAUCGAGUUGUGAUAGCCUUUGUAGCUUGUAAUGUUGUUUGUAGAAAGAUUAUGAAUGAAAAAUUGUAGUUCAUCAUUUAAUUAUUCAAUGUUGCUUUCGUUAAUUUUUCUGGAGCUUUUAUAUUGGGACCACCCCAUGUUAAAAUCUUGAAUUCAUCACUGGUCGUCGUUGUCAUGUUGUCAAAGGCAUUACUACAGGAAUUUGAAGUCACCAUUUCAAGUGGGGUUCUCAUGUCUUUGCUCCAAUAUAAAUUUUUAAAGAUAUUAAAAACUAAAUAAAACUAAAAUUGAAUAUUUAUAAAGUAUUUGUUAAACAUGAGUCCAAAAUUUGAUUAUAUUCUUGUUUGUCAUUUGGUGGAGAAAUCUUGUAUUAUUUAUGGAACUUUUAAAAGUUAAACAAAAAUAAUUCAUACUAUUUCAAGAAAUGAACAAAAUAAACAUUAUUUCAGAAAUUAAAUCAAAAUAACCACACUGUUUAUGAAACCAAGCCAAAAUAACUUACACUAUUUCUGAAACUACUGCAAACUAAUCGACACUAUUUCUGAAAGUGAAUAAAAAUAACUCACACUAUUUCUUGAAGAGAACAAAAUAAACAUUAUUUGUGAAACAACAACAAAAUAACCCAUACUAUUUCUCAAACUACAGCAAAAUAAACCACACUAUUUUUGAAAUGAAACCAAAAUAACGCACAUUAUUUCUGGAACUACAACAAAAUAACCUACACUAUUUAUAAAACUGAAACAAAAUAAUCACACUAUUUCUAAAACUACAGCAAAAUAACUCACACUAUUUCUGAAACUGAAUCAAAAUAACUCACAAUAUUUCUGAAACUAUAGCAAAAUAAGCCAUAAUAUAUUUGGAACUACAGCAAAACAACUCAAACUAUUUCUGAAAUGAAACCAAAAUAACCCACACUAUUUUUGGAACUACAACAACAUAACCUACACUAUUUAUGAAACUAAACCAAAAUAACCAUACUAUUUCUGGAAAUACAGCAAAAUAGCCCACACUAUUUCUGAAACUACAACACUAUUUCUAAAACAGAACCAAAAUAACCCACAAUAUUUUUGUAACUACAACAAAAUAACUCGCAUUAUUUUUGAAAUUGAACCAAAAUACUAUGGAUUACCACUAAUUUAACUACAAUACUAUGGAUGAUAUAAUCAGUCUCAAUAUGUUGCAAAUUUGUGGUACCCUUAAUAAACGAACCAACAUACUAUAACACGAGUAGAUUGAGAAUACUGCAAGAAUAAAUAUUUAUGAGUACUGGAAACACUAAACACAUGGUGUGUUACUUCACGUGUUAUAAUCAUAAUGGAUAAAAUUAUAUAGUAUUAAAUAUCCAAAAUACUAGACACUAUUUUUGUAACUGUUGACCCUAAAAACUACCAGGCCUACGUGACGCGCAGGCCAGUAGGUCACUUAAAUUUAAGGCUAGACACACUUGUCAAUCGGGUGCCUCGGGAUACCAUUUUCGGCUUGUGUGUUGGGGCAGUGCUGCCACUAUGUUCCAGUCCGCCAGAUUGGGUUAAUCUGGCACGGGUCGACAUUUUUUUGGCCUAGUCCUUGACCGCAUGUCAUGGGCAUGUCCAUGGACAUGCCAAUGGGUCGACAUUUGGGUGACGAGGCUUGGCAUGUCAGUUAUAGGCAAUUAGUCCAUGGUGUGAUCCAAUAUGACCAUGGGUCCACCAAAUUGUCGAAUCUAUUGGGCUUUUGCCUCGAGGCCACUUUGGGCAUGUCAACUUCUUGAGUGCCCUUAUGCCAGUGGUUCGACUGCGACAAUUUCGCGCACGUUGACAUGUCAUUGGCAUGCCAUGGACAUGUCAUGGUGCGAGGGAAGGAGAAUCACAUCUUGGCGUAAUGUGCCUUGUGCGAGAUGUUUAUUUUUAGAGUGCAUGCCGAGAAUCGAAGGUGGCUUGCCUACAAGUUUCUAUUCCGAGAGGAUAACUAUGGACUGUCGGUUUGGUUCAUAGAACCAUGAUCUAAGCGUUUGCAUUAGAGUGUCUCUUGGGAGUCUUUGACAUGUCUUGGCAAUGUCAUGGACAAACCAUGGUCGACAGUUUGCUGAGGCCUGGCAUGUCAUUGGCAUGCAUGUUCGAACAUUUUCCGAGUCUUGACAUGCUCAUUGGCGUGCCAUGGUACAUGUAUUGGCCGGUGCCAUGGAACAUGUCAAUGGGGAUCGAGCAUUUUUACGAAAGGCUUGGCAAUCUCAUUGGCAAAUGCACGGUCGACAUUUUGGAGUCUUGACAUGUAAUUGGCAUGUCAUGGAACAUGCCAUGGUCGACAAUUUUGCGAGGCUAGGCCAUGUCACUGUGCAUGCCAUGGGUCGACAUUGACAUGCCAUGUCGACAUUUUGUCGAGGCUUUGGCAUGCCAUGGUCCACUUUUCCGAGUCUUCGACAUGUCAUUGGCAUGCCUAUAUGGGACAUGUCAGUUGUCAGAGUCAUUUUGGCGAUCUGGUGGCAUUGUCAUUAGCAUGCACACGCGGUCCGACUUUGUCGAGUCUUGACUGUCUAUUGGGCAUACGCUUCGAUGGCAUGCCAUGGCGAACAUUUUGCGAGUCUACAUGGUGCAUGUCAUUGGCAUGCAAUGGUCGACAUUUGACAUGCCAAUGUGCGACAUUCUUGCCUCGGAGGCUUGGCCUAUGCGCAUGGAUCCGGACACAUUGUUCCGAGGCUCUGACGAUGUCAAUUGAGAUGGGAUGCCAAACUGUGAACAUGUCCACAGACGUCAGAAGCAUAUCUUGCCCGAGUCUUGGCAUGUUCAUUGGCAUGUCCCACGGGGUAGACAUUAUUUGCGCGCGAUGUCUUGAUGUGUAUGUAGCGCGGCAGAGUAGCCAUGGUCGAGACAUUUUUGCGAGGCUGUGGCUAUGUCAUUUUGGAGAGGAUAAUGACCCAUGCAGUCCAGCUAUUUGACUGUCGCCCGAAUUGUCGCGUACCAGAAGCUAUGUGGCGUAGGAGCUUUGGCAUGUCAUAUGGUGGCCAUAGCCAAUAAACCUUGUAUAUAGAGUCAAGUGUCGUCUUUCGGGUAUUCUUUUGGCUUUGGGCUAGUGGCAAUAACAACAAUUCGCUUUUGCGGUGAGGGAACUACGAACACCAUGUGCCAUGACUGGGGACACCCCAUAUUAGGAGCUGAUUUUCCGAGUCGGCUCCACCAUUCAUGUGGGCCAAUUCAGUCUGUUAUUCGUAUCCACAACCAAACGAAAACUGUUCCACGAAGAUAUGGACUUUGGGUAACGAGCGGCCGCCAGAUAAAGUAAGAACGGAGGCGCGCUACUUUUAGGCACACAUUCAUGUAAUUAAAUUCUAAGGGUUGUUGAGAACUGUUGCGUAAUGGCAGAUUUGGUGUGUUUGCAUUUGGAGAGAUCCUUUUCAAUUACCCUAUCCCGCUUUUGGUUAUUUAUAGAGGUAACUAUACUCGGUUCUGGCGGCUGACAUUGUUGCAUGAAAUACCAUAUUGCAGGUUUCAAAAACUCAUAAAGCCGAAUUAAACGUUACGGCUGGGCGUCAACCCAAACCACACGAAAUAUGUUCACCGAUGAACCUUUGGGACGCCAAAUGAUAAGACGGGUCCACUUUUGCCAUUCAUUAAUCGUCCAACACCCCACGAACUGUAACAAUGGGGAGGAUUAUACUGACAAUGUGCCAUUGGUGUCGACAUGCCAUUCACAAUGUGCAUCGGUAGCCAUAGCAUUGCAUGUUGUCGGCAUGAAGCGAGGUUCGGGCACCUUUCGACAUGUCAUAGCAAAAUCACAUGGACAUUUUGACAUGUCAUUGCAAAUCCCAUGGGUUGUACUAGCCUUGCUUGCUGUCGACACAAAGCGACGCUAUACGUCAAAAUGCACGGCAAAGCUAAAGUGCCGACAUAGCUUGGGAAAAAAAACUUGGCAGACUUAACGUCCCGACAUGAAUUUGGCACAAUUGUCGGACAUGCCAAUGUGUUGGGAAUUUUUGCCCAAUUGUUGACCAAUAGCCUCGCCUCACGAAACAUGGGUAAAAUGAAAAGGAAGGGCCGGGGAGGAAAGGGGGAAAAGGGGGAGGGACGAAUCGAAGCGACCAGCUGAAAUCUCAGUGGAUCGUGGCAGCAAGGCCACUCUGCCACUUACAUUACCCCGUCGCGUAUUUAAGUCGUCUGCAAAGGUUUCUACCCGCCGCUCGGUGGGAAUUACGAUUCAAGGCGGCCACCGCGGCUCGUCGCCGGAGGGCCAGGCCAUCGACAUGAGCCUUGGGGGCCGGGCCCCUACUCAGGUCGCAAUCGGCGCGGCGCAGGCCGUCGCUUCUAGCCCGGAUCUGACGUUAGAGCGUUCAGUCAUAAUCCAGCGCCGGUAGCUUCGCGCAACCACUAGCCCAUGUGCUUAGUGCAUGCUUUUUCAAUACAAAGCGCAUUGAUAGUACCCAAUUUUUGACUCGACAUCAUUCAUGGGAUCUCCUUCUCCACUGUAUCUUAAAGGUUAAAUUUAGGUGUUCGAUCAUAACCUAUUCGCGCACAAUAAUCACUGUCAUCAGUAACGGGUAUAAACUACAUGCAACUAGACAACUGUCUUCAACGCGACCGGCCUUAACUUGUUCAAAUCCCAGCUCAACGUUCCUAUUGGUUGGGUGAGAUCAAAGUCCAACAAUCUGGCUUGGAAAUCUUGGCUCAACAAUGAUAGGCAAGUGAGUCCCGACCAUUUCGAAGGAUCAUAAAAGCCCAAACGUCGCUUGAACGCUUGCUGCCACAAGCCAGUUAUCCUGUGGUAACUUUUGUCUGACACCUCUACUUCAAAUUCUGAAGGUCUAAAGUGAGAUUCAUUACGGUCACGCCAUCUUGCAUGUGAAGCUUUCAUGCCGUUCCGACUACUUGACCGUUAUAGAGGAUAAAUCACGAAAUUCAAAUCGUGAGCGUUGUUCACAUCCGCUUUUUGUGUUCCACACGAGAUUUCUGGUUCUCGUGAGCUCAUCUUAGGACAACCUGUCGUUCCAAAGGUAUACACUUCUUUGAGUACCCAACAGAUGUGCCGCCCAAGCAAACUCACCCACCUGACAAUGCGAGAGCGCGGAGCGGGCUUGGUUCCAAAAAAGAGGGGCGAUGCCCCGCCUCCGAAUCCACGCAGAAUAUUUACUAACUUAUAACGUUAACAGAUAGUAGUGCUAAUUAUGUUCAAGAGUGUUCGCUCGGGCGAGGUCUCCCACUUUAUUAUCAAAUAACACCCUUGUCAAAGAUUCACAUUCUCACAAAGUUGGGAAACACGAGGAUCAACAAGCUCAAAACAGGCUUUCUUUUCCGACGACAGUGAUAAACUCUGCCAAGGAACACCGCUUCCCGUAAUAAGGGCUAUGAUAAUUAUAGACCCGGAAGAAGUAAGACUCGAAACUGGAAGAUAUGGUGUGGGUGAUAUUGUUAAAUAAAGCGACCAGUUUUCAUGUAGUCGCUAUAGUCAUCUAAUAAGUAUAUAGGAAAUGUGAACGAGGCAUCAUGUUCUGUGGCUAAAUCCUGUAUAAAGAAUUGAGUUUCUAUAUAUUAGUUAUCCGCUAUUGGUCGACCCGGCACGUCGUUCAGGUGAAUCAGUUUGAAACCCAAAACUAAAUCAUUGAUCGGGUUUUCACCUCCAUCGGGGGCUUGGUUUGAAUCAUCUUUCUCUACUCAAGGGAACGACUUCCAGUCAAGCCAUCUUGUGCGCGUCUACAUAACAUCAAAUCUCACACUUCGCUUUUUAGCAUCGUCCCCGGUUUUCAAUCACUUUCUCGGUGGCGUUUGUUGCACGCAGGGAACCCCCUGGCACUAUGCAUGCCUCUCUGUUUGGUUUUAAACUGGUUACUCAAGAGUCGGCAUUCUCUCUUCAGUCCGCGGUACCAGUUCUGAGCCUUGAACGUUCGCUGCCAGCAGGCUGUGAAAGGACCACUUAGGGGACACGGUCUGGCUCUCCCGGUUUAACCUUCACACUAGCGACCCUACAGGUUUAAGGACUAACUUAGUGCCAACACGGCGCGGCUUUGGUGCCGCUACUUGUGUGCGGACUUAAGAACCAGGAUAAUAACAAAUUUUAUACAAAUAGCCGCCAGGAAAAAAUUGAACUCCACGAACGGUCAACGUCUCUGUCUAAAGCAGACAGAUUUCUCGCGAAAUCCUAACGCAGCACGUAUCGGGCCAAUUUCCGGAUCCGGUGAACCCCCGUAUGGCACACGUUCCAUUCAAAGGUUUGCCCACCUUUCUCCACGCGAUGAACGGAGUUGUCCAAAUUUUCAGCGCCGCGAAACUCCACUUGCUACAUUGUUCCCACGACCAGAACGGUGUUAACCUAAUGGACACUGAAUGGGCAGAGUUAAUGAGCUACUAACGUGGUCCACGCUUGGAAUACUGGGUUACUGCAGUCCUGACCUCCGGUAUUUUCACAAGAGGGCCGCAAAAGUCGGGGACUUGUACGCGGACAAAACGGGGCGCGACGUGCGGUUGCUCUCCAUGCCGAAUAGUGAUCCCUAACACCAUCUCGUGUGUGCUAGAAGCCGUCUAAGGGCUGGCGCCAGAAAAGAGCUUUUGAAAAAUCAUGUAUACAAAGAUAAAACUCUUGUUGCAGGAGUGCCAGGACAGGAGACCCGACGUCUCCAGGACCUCACCUAACACCGUUGCCGUCACCGCCGCGUUCCCCGGCUAUCAGGAAGAUAUACAUAUAAAAACUCCCUAGCCCUUUCGACAGAUACACACCGCGAGACGCGACUGCGAGUCAAGGGACGGGGCAUUUCCUCCGAUCUGCUUAUGGACAUGUCGACUAAAACCCAUGUGAAGUGCCCGAUGCUCACACAUGGAAGCCUUUAUCACCACUCUUCGGCCUUCCACAGUUAUACUCAAUUUGAAAUAUUCUAAUGCUACUCCACCAAUGAUAUCUGCACCGCGCGACGAGCACGUGCUCCGCCCGGGAUCGAGCAGCCCAGGUUUUUGAGCGCGCGACUACGGCGCAGCCCUUCCUUCUGACACCCCCUCUCAUCGGGGCCUGGCGCUUGCCCCGACGGCCGGGUGUAGCGAGUUCUGCACGGCCUUCCUAUGCUGCACAUCCACAUAUUUCGGAGGCAUCUUAGUUGAUUAGCGCAGAGCGGAUUGAGUUGGUCACCGCAUGAGAGCGCGACGAGCGAUUCACUUAUCAGCGAGGACCCAGCUGGUCCGGAGCUGAGCUUUAAUGCGAGACCCACCUUAUGGGUGGGUUAACCUAGAGUCCUUACGCGCGGCCAUUUGGCGUGCACACGUCUCGGUCAAACACCGGGCCUUCCGGUUUCAUCCGCUCGAUGCGACGCGCAAUCUCUGCUUACACCAGAAGAAAUCGAGCACCAGGAAAUCUCUGAGUAUACGUGGACGUGAGCGGGUCAUCACUGAAAAGUACCUAGAGUCGCACCUGUUCUCUACCUAUUAAACGAGAGUUGAAAGAAUAGGCUCGACAUAAGUAUGAGGCGUGAUGCGCAUCCAUGAAUGCACCAAUUAAUAACAAUAUGUUGCUUACCCCGUAAUCUAGACCAAUAUCUCCUCUAUACAUACAGAGUAUCACUACCAGCAUAUUACUCAUGAUGGGAAACUUCUAGGUAGGGAACAGCUACUAGACGGUAUUCGAUUUAGGUCACCUAUUCGCCAUUAAAUAUACCCAAAGUUCAGGUGGUAGCAAUCGAGUCGUUUAUGACAACGUCAAGUUACGCUGAGACGGGUCACUCUCAACCAGAGUUUCCUCUGGCUUCGCCCCGCUCAGUGCAAUAGUUCACCAUUCUUUCGGGUCCCGACAAGUGAUACAUUCUCGCUAUAUCGAGAAACCCUUUCUCAAAGAGAUCACAAAGUCACGACCGCUAGUCGGUGAACACAAUCCCAGCGGCGCGCGAGAUCUCCCCAUCACUUUCUCUUGCGCCUUCACACACGGUUUUGAUCUGCACGCGUAAUUCGACUAAUGCUCGAGCUGAGACAAUCUCAGUAAUAAGACUCACUUUUGCGAUCCCGAGUGUUUGAUCGAACUGGUCCCGCGAAUGGGGGAUUGUUCUCUCGUAUCCGCAACCACGCCCUGUGGGUUAUGUCGGUGCAGUUCCUUGAACAGCACAACCAGAAUGUGCGGCUCGCGGCUAGACCACGCGAUUCCAACGACUUCCGUGCGCAGUCGAGAGAUGGUCGUCUCCUCGGGCGCAUAUGCUAUCUUAUGCCAGGAGCUUUUUGCCGCACGCAUCCUGUAGGAAUCCGCAUGCUCGGUGUCUAGAGCGCUCCGAGCCCGUAUCGGCGGACGGGCCUGUGACUGGAGAUCGCAUCCAGAAUUUGAAUAUGCUCCGAGAGGCUGGCGCAAAUACGCACAUGCUCCCCACAUUCCGCCUUCCCUCUCCCGACAAUUGCAAGCACUCUCUUAUUGACUCUCUUUUCAAGUCUCCGUUUUCAUCUUUUUUCCCCGGGUAGCCUUGGAUUUGCUAUGCGGGCCUCUCAUCGCCGGCGUCAUUUAUAGAGCUUCUGGCACAGAAAUUAUAGCCCGCCCACUGGCGCCACGACGAUUUGGCGGGCUGCAUUACACAGAAGAACAGCCCGAGGGUACCGCCUUGACAGCUGCGCGCGCUCGUGGUAGCGGCAGUGUUGCAGGCACCGGAAGAACAAAUCGCGUGGCUCUCGAGCUUCGUCGUCACGCCUGCCACCCUACUCAGGUCGAACAUCUUGGCGGAUCCGAGCUUCGCUGUAGGGUACCAGGCUUCUCCAGGUAACCUCAGAUCCUCCGAAUAACGACACGUGACCGGCGCCCGAGUACCUUCAGGCUGUGACGUGUUUCCCUCUUCUUCGUAAGAUUCGCUCGAUUACAACGAAGGAGGGAGAAUAUGCCGCUCUCUGUAAGUGUUUCUGUUUUCGCGUUGCCGUCUUAGUUUGGAGUAUAUGCUUAAAUUCAGCGGGUAACCCCGCCUGACACCUUGGGGUCUGCGUUGAAAGCUGCGCCGACGAAAGCGGAGAAAGCAGACGAGCGAUCGCCCAGAGGGCCCGCACGAGGCGGAGCCGACGAAAGGCGCCACAACUGGACAAGAGCGCGUGCGCGAUCGGCAAGAGGAACGCAGACCGCCCCACGAAGUGCGUCGGUGGCGUUCGCGCAAAGGAGACGACAGCCAGCGCGACGUUGACCCCGAGAUCUUGUAGGCCAACCCGCGCGGGUACAGCAACGGGGAAGUGCCUAUUUUCGGAGGGCUUGCCAAGGACCCGCACCCUACCCGAGAGGGCUCCCAGAGUAUGGGAGAUGGCUCCGGCGGACGGGCAACAGGCGCGAUAGGUUGACCCCUAGCGAGGUGUCCGAGCGGUGUAAGCAGUCAGUCUGCCCGCCCUACAGGCAGUACUUCGCAAUGGCAUAUCGGGACGCCAACUUGCGUUCAAAGACUGCGAUGGUUCACUUGGGAUUGCGGUGCAAAUUCACACCACAAUGAAUCAUUAGCUAGUCCAGGCGUACUUCUCGCCUUACGACCCUUUCAAGAUUACGGUUCGAUGACGAGAAAGCCAGAAGAUACGUCGUUGCCCCCGCUAAGGAGAAGAAGGUUCCGUUUUCUUCUUGACUUCUUAAUCUGGCAAGCUGCUCACUCAAGAAGAUCCACUCUGCUCAGGGGGCCCAUCCCGCCCGCCUUUUCGGAUCGCGCCUUGGGAUGGGUUCAUCACCCGUGAUGUCUCUUUCCCCGGGGGACCGGCUACUCCCCUUUUUCGUCAUCUUUCGCCGGGUUACAUUAGAAGGAGGGCGCAUGUCCGGCCUAAAUCCUAGGUCCUUCAGAUUGUCGCCUUGGUCAGCUCACUUUCCUUUUGAGUCGCAAAGCGAGCAGCCGUGCUGAGUUAAAAUUAGUCGGUCUGCAGGGUCGAGCACGGGGAGCGGCGGUCCUCCACAGCGGACCGGAAAGAAACAAGCAAGGGUUCGGACUGCGGGGUCCCCGCAACCUGGAGCCCGUCGGACGCGCCCCUCGUCAAGCGUUUUCUCGAUAUGACGUGCGGUUCUCUUGCCCGAGGGUCGUUUCUGCUCCGCGUGCAAAGGUUCGAUUCUGCUUUCAAGUUGUCUUCUUGCCCUCGUACGAUGGUUCAUCCGUCUACGGACAGCAUCCUCUUUGUUUACCUGGAAAAAUCUUCUCUCUUCUCCUCUAAGUAUAAUUUGAUUUUAAAGUGUUUAAGUACUUCGGAGGUUCCAUUUCAGUCGGUCUUGUUACUAUCAGCGACGAUGUGUGGUGUGGGUUGAGGUCUACAACACGCCACGAGCGCGUAGCGAAGCACGUCGAUCAGGCUAGACCUGUCUGAACUCGCGACCAUGUCAUUUGCUGGACCUUAGUGGUAAUGGCGGCUUAAGCUGACUCGAGUCGGGUGGAUUGUGUAAGCAAAGGGGCCAGCGAGCUGCGCACGUAAUGUGUUACAGAAAACUCUGCAGCCUGGAUUUUGCUCUUGAUUUGGAUCUGCGCUCUAACUCUUAAGGGAAUUCCCUCGGUUGGGAAGACCAACAAUUGCAUUUUGAUUCAUUUCAGAUCUCGAUGCAAUUUGGAUCUGUAUUGAUAUAGACUGUUAAAACCCUAAAAAGAUUUGAAACCAUCUGUGUAUACGGAGAAUUAGGUCCGAUCGUUGGAUUUCGGUGCCAAAGCAACUUAUUAUGCCGACUUCGAUAUAUGUUGAAUAUCGCUACCCAAAACCAGUUUGUAAAAGUGCGGCGUCACGUGAUUGUGCGGAGCCAUUUAGAAAUGAUUUUUGACUUAAGGGGCGACAUUCAACAGACCUUCUAGUGUGGAGCCUUUCCACAAGACCUUAUGUUAAACUCCUUUCGCCAUAUAUUAGUCGGUCCAUCAAGUUCCCUCCUACACGAAGCCCUCAGCCGCGGGUGUGCUUGGGGAACGAUGAGCGCACGCAUUUAGCUAAUGUAUUUUUUGCAAUACGACUGUAUGGUUUUCUGUUCGUAAUCAACAGCGAUAUAGUGUUUUUGCUAUAAUUUAAACCCCAGACAUCACUUCGCUCGACUGAAACAUACAUGAUACGUGCCAUUGCACCACCGACCCUCAUCACGAGAUGUAUUAUAUAUUAUUAGCUUCUCCAGUCGGUGUACAAGAGCGUUAGUAUGAUUCGUGUAGUAAGCUAAUUUUUUCUUAUCAACCUGCAGGGUGUUUUGAGUUCAAGACUCUUUUGGAUUUUAAUAUGAUGACCCAGAGGGCUUCAACCUUCACCUUGGCUGGUUGGGCAUGGCUAGAGUGUGCGUUAGAUUUCCUUUUAAUAGCUUUUAUGGAUAGAGACUCUGUUGAUCGAGACCAUAUGACUAGCUCCGCUAGACCACGCGACUACCUUCAGAAAUAUUUCUUUUAUGAGGGAGAUAUUUUCUCAUUCUUUUGGUGACUAUCGGUGGCCGCACUAAGAAAGAAUAAUAAUCCGCCCAGAUACCUAGAGGUUACCAGACAAACAAUUCGUUUACGUAAAUGGAGACUAGUGCACGGUAAGCUGAUCGUUGAGCGCUCCACCAAACAUUUUCGUUCUGAUUUAAUGAGAAAAAAACCCUCGAUAUUCGGCACAGAGAUGCAUAUCGGACAGAGAGUUUCGAUGACACACUUUCACAUAAAUCCAAGAAUUAUCCACCUCUAGAAUAUAAAUAUUACAAGAAUCCCUCCAGAACUAGCCUUCUAUUAAUCAAUAACAAUCCCGAUCCCGGGAGGCCAGAGAGAGUAUUGACGGACCAGUGAAUUCGCUAUAUUAAUGUAUCCAUGCUUAGAGAGCUCAGAAAACGCGCGGUAACUGUUUUGGGGAUUAGGAAGGCACUCAUGCGUAACUCCAUACCAAUUAAUCUUCUAAAAGUUACAGAGGGCACCGGACGUGCGACAGAGGAGCCUAUCAACCACGCCAAUUAAGGCCAGACAAGUAUCGCCGUGCAGAUGAGUGUGGACGAGCCGACACGUGGUUUCGCACACCAGAGGCGGACCCGGACACAAAGCCCAAUAGGACACAACUCGAGCAUGUCUUUUACAUACCUCUUUGCAGAGCAAACUUACAAUAUUAACGUCCUUAACCUAUAGGAGAGCCUUGAGCAAUCAAACCGCGGCUAAGCGCUGCGUAAGCCCUGUCGUACAAUUGCCGGCCUCUAAUGGCGUUAUAUCCCUCCAGUGUUCAAAGGUGAUUAAGAUUUGCUAUCUCUAUCUCUCAAUUACAGACCAUAGAGCCCAUCGGUAAUUGUUAUUCUAUCUGUCACUACCACCCCUCUGAUUGUCAGGUAUAUUGGGCAAUAUAUCCUGCGCGCGCUGCUGCCUUCCUUGGAUGGCUGGUAGCCGUUUCUCUCAGGCUCCCUCUCGGAAAUCGAACCCUAACUAUUGCUCUCUCUUGUUCAUAUCGCCCGUCACAAACAGACUAGGUCAAAAGGCACCCACCUUAAUUCCUAUCGCAUACAAGCGAAAGUUGAUAGUUGAGCCCAUGAUUCCAUUAUCAAACACGAGUGCGCACAUGCGCCUAAGCAACGAAUGGCUCCGACGAUCCGGUCUCGAGUUACACAUAGAAUCAGCAGAACCAACGGCGCAAACAGCCCGCGUCCCGAGAACCUUUAUUAUAAUCUCAAUAAAUACUGCCGGUCCCACUUUCUCAAGAAGUACUAGAGGUGUUUUGUUAAGCACUUAAUUAGCUCUAGAAUUACUAACUAACGGUUAUCCGAGUAGCAGGUACUAUCCAAUAACCAACUAUAGAACUAGUAAUUUAAAUAAGUCCAUUUCGCAUAUUAACAGUUUACUGAAUUUGUUUACAUAUACUUACUACACAUUCAAUGGCAUUAAUACUUUUAGAGACAAGCAAUAGACUACUGGCAAGAUCACCAGGUAGCAUUCUCUUCCACGAGAGACCAGCUUAUUAAUCAAAUCAUCUCAAUCUUCUUUGCGAGAGAUCCCCACAUGGCUGGCGCCAGAAGACCAAUUUUGACGACCUCUCACGAAUCGAUCUCGGCCUCGCGAUACAGGGCACGCAGUCCGUACGGCAUGCAAAGCGACAGGCUUCGAUCGACGAUGCGGGAGGCACCGUAAAGAAACCGCAACCUCGCUCCUGAUUCGAGAGACCGUUCUCCGCAUCGAGCCGACUACGAGGAAGUGUCAACACAACUGCGGCGGAUGCCACAACGCUAUUACCCACGGAGCACACACAUAACCGAAACGAUACACGAGCCAAAUACUAUACUGUAGCUUAGCGAAAGCUCUGUCCCGGGAACAGAACUAAGAUACUUAUGCGAGCAAACACCUGCCGCAGUAAUUUAAAUACAACACUAUGGAUGAUAUUAAUCCAAUACCGCCAUGGAUACGUCAUGCUCGUCAAACUUCGUCCGGUCGCAAGAGCUGCCCUAUGCAAAUAGAGAGAAGAGACAAGGGAACCACGGCAGAAAGGCGACAUCUGUCCACUCUCGCUGAAACAUACACGAGUAUAGAACUGAGAAUACCGCAGAAGAAAUGUUUAUUAGUAUUGAAAACACUAAAUGAUAGCACAAAUACAGAAACGCCUCGAGUCUGUUGCUGGCUCAGCGCAUGACACAUCUCUGUGAGCGUCUGUUUCAGAUGACAUGAAGCCGCGAGAGUAUACGAUUGACGGAACGAUCAAGUUCAGAAAUGUGUAUUGCUCCGCAUUGAAAAAGUAUCCCCGAGAACGCAACUUGGCCCACCGUCUAUGAAGCCAAACCCAAAUUUAAUGCAACAUUAACAAUACACGAUGCUUUACAUACAUGUCAAAUCUUCAUCUAUCAGCCGAUAGAUCGGAACGUUUACAACGUCCUAUUAAACCCACAAAGCACCCUUGGUCCUACCCAAAUGCCAAAAACAUAACCACUAUCGAUUUAGACUAUUCUACAAAGGCAAUGCUCUCGAGUGGCACGAGACAUGACGAAUAAAAAAUUGGGAACACCGGGUAUGGAGCAACGAAGAUCACCAGACACCCUCAGACUAAGAGGCUAUGAAACACUCAACUACGUACACAGAGCAACAGGUACGACUGAGUAGUUCAUGUCUCGCCAUUACCCUUAGACAGAAAUAUGAUCACUCUACGUCAACACAGUUGCCACAUAAAGUAGCUAAUGCAAGCGAAAACUCAAGCGCCUGUUCCGUAUCUUUAUACAUAUCCACCGAAACUGUGUGGUCGGUUAGAAAGCGACCUUAAUCCACAAUAUGCUACCAACCCCCUGGUUAACUAUUUGUGCAGCCUAUAACAGUACAGCACGACACUCUUGUGAUCUUUUCUUCGGAACUCCCUCUUUGACCGUCAAACGAGGGACAAGCUUCUUCACACACAACAUUUAAAAUGACUCGAUUUGAAUCGAAUUAGCUCCUGUGCACUAAAACAUUAGCUUAUAAUCUUUGGUGGACCACCUUGCGAGGUUCCUUUCGGGCACAUUACGACAACAUUAAGCUCGCAGUGAUACACGACAACAACCAUUGUCACCAAGAACAAGCCCGAGCAAUUGCUGAGUUACAAAGCUCCGCACAGGGACAAACGCGAAGAGAGGACAAACUUCUUUCAUCUCCGCCUUUUCUAUUCUGCUUCUUUGGUGUAAGACUACGAUCACAUCGCUUAGUUAACAGGAACUGGGCGACCGCCCGGGCUCGAGGCGCAACAAACUGCAUGGACUGCGAGUGUGCGCCCACUAACCACGCCUAAGAGAAGCCUGCGGCAUUGUUUCCAUCCAAAAGCCGAACCUCCCUAAAUAUCCAACAUCCGAAGGGCAACCGAGGUGUUGGAAAAACAUGCAUGUCGAAAAAAACACCCGCUCGCAAAGCAAAAGAAAACAAAACCCAACCCAAAAGUUUAAAAGAGAAAACAUUUUUCCCAACCCUAUUUUUCGAAACGUUUUUUCGCACCCUCCUUAAAACCAUUUUGUCCCCUUUUAAUUUGAAAAACAGAAAACAUUGUUUGUUGUUUGAAAACAUUUCAAACAUUUCAAUAUACAUUUGAAAAAUUAAAAAAAAAAAAAAAAAAAAUUUAAAAACGCACCCAUGGUGGCGGCGGCGGCGGAGGGAGGACAGCGCUCAGCGACCGGCGGCCCAAAAUUAGGGCACCAAAAUUAUUAGGGCGGUAUAUUUAUAUGGGUUGCGCCUUUUUUAUAAGAGGUCAAUCCAAUAGGGGACGAGGAAAUGAUCCCCAUGAUUCUAUACACGAACAAUGUUCAGUGGCAUAAUAUUUCAAUAAUACAUAGAUUUAACGGCGUACAGACAACGAUGAAUGAUGUGUGGCGUGGAGAUGUGUCAUUUGCCCAGACCGAUGGUGCAUUGCGCUGCAUCCAAUGCUUGGCGAAUUUUUGACAUGCGAAGACGAGAGACAUCCUACCACUAAACCAAGCCGCUAUAUAAGUCAUAUUAUGGGAUUUAUUCGAAAAACCACGCGCAGUGUGCUUAUUUCUGUAUCUUCUAUGCCAUUUUGCACUGCCUUACAAGAUGUUCAUGGAUUUAUCAUCAGUUAUUUUUUCGCGAGGAAGUCAUAAGAUGUAUUCCAAUAUUUGAUAAAUAAAUAAUCAUGAGCUUUUUGGGGAAGUUUUAGUAGAACGAUGAGUCAAUCGUAUUAAGUCUAGAGAGUUGUGAGAGGAAUACACAAUAUGAAUGAUGCACUAGGGAAUAUUUGAAGUAAUAAAUAAUCAAGAAUCUUUAAAUAUCGAGCAUGGGCAAGUAGGUUUCCUAUAAAUUUUUUAUUGUGAUAGAGACACGUUCAUGGUGCAACAAUUGGAGAAUAAAUGUAAAAAAAAUUCUGGUGAUCGAAGAAUUUUUUUUCCAAAUCCGUAUAGUUUAUAUUGGAUAACCAGCAUUAUUCUUAUUUGAUAUAUGAGUUUGCAAUAUACUAAAACUAAUUGAGUGGUGCGGAUUUGUGCGGUAGUGAUAAUUUUUAGUUUAAAUCUAUACCAAAUGGAUGACUCUAUGUGACAGUGUGUUGUGAGUUGUUAGAAUUUUCUUGAGCUCAAAUAGUUCGAUUGUAUCGUACAUGCCUGCUUAAUAUAGCUAGAGCUCAACUAAUUCUUCAAGCACAAAUUGGAGUAGCUUAGAGAUACAUAGAUGCGGCGCAAUAAAGCUCUUCUGUUGUCAUGAGAGUUAGUAAACAGAGCGGUGUCAUGCAAAAUAUAGCGAGUGCAAUAGUUGGUAGUGGCACGGCCAAGCGGAGUGUUUUUUUUUGAGUGCGCAAUAGCAUGCGUAGUGGACUUUGGCAAGAUUCAUAUCUAGGCUACUGCAUGGUCGAGCAUUUUUUAGCACACAUGACGACUUGGAGAGCAUAUUAUCAUUGCGAACGAGCUUUUGAGUGCUAAUGUCAUUGGUCCAUUUGACGUAUGUGUACCGACCAUUUUUCCGAGUCUUGCAAUUGUUCAUUGGCGUGCCAUCGAGUAAACAAUGUUCAUGAGCAGAGUCGGAGUUCUAGUUAAUAAGAAAAAAUAUGAGAGCCAGAGUGCCUUAGCGGCAUGUCAUGAUUUUAUUAAACAAAUGCCAACAGCUACGAUUACAAAGUUCAGAUAGGACAUAUACAUAUUUGCGAGUCUUUAGACACCCAUUUGGCAUCACAGUACUUGAGGCUCUAUGCUCCAUGGUGCCUGAAAGCUCCAGUAAUCCGAGUCGAUGCGACCAUAGGUUCAUUUUUGUGCUUGUUGUGGCUAUCUUCCGCGUGACCCAUGUUAUCAUAUCAAAGUCGAAAUCACAUUAAUUCAAGUCUUUCUUGUCUGCCGAUUGGUCUAACAUUGUUAGGCUGAGUAUCAUUAUUUUUCAAGUGUCUAUAUUGUCCUUAAAAAGCUAGGUACGAUUUUUAUCAUUUCUGAUGUGACCUUGAAGGCUUGGAUGAACAUGAUACAAUUAAUGACACUAUGUCCAUUUCGGUACACUAUUGCAAAAGUUUAGGGGAGCACUCAUUUCUUUCCGUAAUGACGUUGGCGCAAUGUGCUUGGCAUGCCAAUGGUCGACAUUCCUUUCCGAAGGCUCUGACAACCGGGCCUUGUCAAUUGGGCCGUUAACAAUAGGACAAUCUUGUACAAUUGGGACGCCGUGACAUUUUGCAGAGGGCUGGGGAAGUGGCGCUCAUUGGCAUUGGUUCACUGAAGUCCGACAAUUUUGACGAGAGUCUGAAUGUAUCAUCGUGGCCAUGUCCAGCACCGCGACAUGCCACAAUGGUCGACAUUUUGCCGAUGGGCUCUAUGAGCAUUGUUACUCUCGAUUUCUAAAUGUUGAUAGAAAUGGAGAAAUGUCCAUUGUGGUCGUACAUUUUGGAUUCUUUUGUUUGACAGUCGGUCCAAUGUCCAAAGACCCUAUCUUUUGGUGCUGAGGUUCUUAUGUGGCAUGUUCAUUGGACAUGGCCAUAAUGGUCUCCACUAAUCUUCCUGAUGUCGUUGGCAACAUAUAUGUGCAAUUUGUGCAGAAUCCAUGGACAAGUUAUCCAUAUGUCGACAUAUCGAUAUGUCACUUUCGAGGCUUGGCCAAUGGACACUAUUUGGGAGCCAAUUGAUCUAUUUUGGGUUAUCGUAGGUACAUUCUAUGUUUGUCACCAUGUGUAGUCUUUGAUGAAAGGUUUGACAUUGGGCUUGGUUAGGAUGAGGCACACGACCAUAGGUCGACCAAUAUAUGUUCUAAAAUGUGCGAGUCUAUCGCUGACAAUGGAUUGGCAUGUCAAUGGAGCAUGCUCAGUGUGCGUCGACAGUUCUUCGAGGCUUGGCAUGGUCCAUUGGCAAUGCCAUGGUCGACAUUACGACGAUGUCCAAUGUACGCUCUUUGAACAUGAUACAUGUGACGGGGCGAGUUGCCUAAUGGAACCAGUACUAUUUUAAGUAAUUUUAAGGGCGUUGCUCAAAGAGUAAAUACAUGUAAUCUAUUGGUCCCGAAUUUAUGCUCAUAUAUUAUUAUUAACAGAGGUCGUUCAUUGCACAUGUCAUUUCAUUGGGCAUGAUAUACCCUCCAUCGGUCGUAUUUUCUAUUACCUUUACUCCAUUCGACAAGUGUAGACCGAAUUAUCCUUGAAUGUGUCAUUAUGGAGCUACGAUUCUACAGUUGGUCUACGAAUAGACGCGCACCGAUCAGUCGUAAACACUAUCAUAUAUAUAUACGAAAUGAGAACUUUGCAUAGUCAUUAUGGCAUGCACUACAGUGUAGAAUCGAUAUUGUGCUGAAGGUACAUAGCACUAUAUAUUAGCCUGGUCCUGAACAAUUUUAUUUAUAUUUAUAUCGCGGAUCAGUUUGGUUAGAGAUGUAUCGAACACUCCUAACUAGUUCAACAUUGACUUGGAUGUAGAUGUUUAUUUAAGGUUGGUAUUGGUAUGACUAGAAGAGCAAUAAAAGAAAAUUUUAUUGGAUAGAUAUGGCCACACUAAUAAUAUACCAUUAGGGGUUACACAACAUUUUCGCGGAGGUAUCUUUGACCUGUUAUCUAUAUGUUUAUGGAGUAUAAUAGCCACUAAUGGUAGAGAUCUAAUUCUGUGAGAGGUCGAAAUCAAUACAGACGUCAUCACGCUAUGUUCACUGCACAUGGCAAUGUUUUUGUGUAGUGUCGAGGCAUUAGCUCGCGAGGUAUUAUGGGACGGUACGGCCAGUAUCUAGACGAUUUUGUGGCAACCUAUUCUUUUCAGAUGUCGGUCUAUUCUUUUGAGUUAGGAGACUAGGAUCAGUUGGAGCCACCUAUUAGUGAUUCAGGGAGCUAUUCUGCUUAGCCAUCAGCGACUCUUAACAUUCUAGCGAAUCCCACUACACUACUAUUUCACGUUUUACCCAAUAUAAAGGUGUGCUCCUUCAAUCCAUCUGAGAUACCGACACCCUAUUUGACCAUGCCCAAGCGAUGUCUGUCCGACAACAAUUAUGCUGUCGAAAGGCGUCGUUCGCGCAGACUCCUAGUCUGUUGUUCUCCCUACUCUGUUAUGUCCUCUGCAGACUAACUAUUAUGCAGUCUAAAGCGUGACGCAUAAAUAGUCUAGCUCUAGCACACAAACCACUCGGGUAUCGCAAAUUCUUAACCACUUAGGUCAAUGCACGAUGAGCGUACACAGCGUCGUCAGACGUGUACUCUAAAGUGGAUGCAUGUUGUACAGUUAUGGCAGUCACCGGUUAGAUAUCCCAUAUUAUUGGCCGAACGGUUCUUUGAUACUCCAGAGCACGAAUGUUCAUUUCUGGCGGUCGUAUAUAUGUCCGCAUAGAUUCGGAGCAAGAUAUACACUCUGAGAGACGAUUGACGGCUAGGGUGCAAUUUGGCAUAUCUAUUUUACCGGCCAAUGCUCACUACAAAAAAUGAUUCGUCGCGGAGAACCAAUUCUUCAGCAUGAUCCCCACGAAAUUGAUAUGUGUACUCAAUUCAUUUUGACGAGAGGCACAUAGGCCCUAGGUGUAGGUCUUGCAGUUAGGAGCGUGGCAUCGUCUUGCAUAUUAGAAUAGCCCGUUGAGCCUGCCAGAGUCACUGACGUGAGGAAGUCACAUUUGUUGAAUGUAGUUUUCGGCUUUCACGCGGGAGGUCGCAAACGAAAGUUAAAACACACAACUUACGUUUGUUGCACCCUUACCGACAUACACGAUGACCUUUGUAAUGUGAGUGAUUAUGCCACUAAAAGAAGGGCUGGCGAGCAGUCGCAUUAAUAGAGUGUCCGUGUUGAUAUCAGAUUUUUUGCUCUACAAUUCUCAAUACAGUUAAUAUCGGACUCUGAGCGAAACACUAAUAAACAGAUAAUUGAAGCUGAACACUGCUUAAGUUAAAGCGACAAAUUAUGUGACAGCUCUCCAUAGUAACAAUUAUUCAGAUGUAUAACUCAAUUAUCAUAUAUGCUCACUAGAAAUCGCCACCGAAUUUGAUAGAUUUUUAUCGUAUAUGGUAAUGUGUGAUGUAGAGUUAGAGGACUCCUAAAACACAAAUACCGCUAUCAGAAAAUGAGUAGUAUCAACCGAUGGCGAAUUCUGAGCAGCUCCAAAUAUUCCAUAAGCUAUAGGCACUUAGACGGGGAGCUUUUCCGAAACUUUUUGGUGCCAUAUUCGUACACAAUUAUAUAUGAUUAAUCGUAAAAUUGCGCAUCUCUGGAAAAGAAACCAACAAACCCCAUGAACUUUGAAUAUAGAUGAGGUGUGAUGCGGAUGAUAUUAGAACUAGAGACACCAAAGAAACCAUUCGGAUGAUAUCUGUAUCAUGUUACUCUCCAUUAAAUCACAAUUCUCAUGUUUUUGUUUCCACUUUUUUCUCAGUUUGUACCAGGAACUAGCUAGCUUACGAGUACUGUAUACUCGUUGGGUGAGCAGCAACUUGUUGUAAGACGGAGAAUAAGAAGAAGAGGUUAGUAACGAGCGGUGUUAAUGAGUUGGGAGCGCUCGUCCACCCGCAGAUAGUCUUAUAGAUUCUAGACCUUAAUGCCCCUUAUCUUCAGUUGAACUGCGAAAGAGAAGGGGUCUAGCAGACAAGGCGCUCACUAAAUUGGACAAAUUCAUAUAUCAUUUGAUUGACUACUUAACAUAAUUAAAUUCUCACAUAUUAUUUUUGGCGCAGUAUCCAUAAGCGUCAUUUGAUUUCCACGUCUGAUCGUCUGAUUUGGAAGCAGAUUAAAAUCGACGCCGAUAUGCGCGUUACUGUAGAUUGAUACGGGAACUGGUUGCUAAUUAUGACUGAUCCGACACAAAGCGUACCCAAUACUAACAAUACUCCCACGUCCAAAAACACGUCGUCAUACCGAGACAAAUAUAGGGCAUGCACAGAUUGACCUGACGCUAUUGAAGAAAAGAUAUGAUUGUAGGAAUAAAUUAGUACACCAAUACGUCCUUGGAGCAGACUAUAAAAGUUCACUUGUAUGCUCUUUAUUAGAAAUAAUGAAACAAACAGUUGUGUUUGGGAGCUAAGGUCACUAUAUAAUGGUUUUUGAUUAGUUGGUUUACAACUCAAUAUUAGCCGGCUGAGAUAAAUCUAUUGACUCUAACUCCAAGCUAGGUGGAGAGGGAUGUGACGCACGCCACUCCUUAGUACGAAGGUACUUUAGUCACCACGGGCGUAUAUUAUAAUGCCUGACCCGUAUAACAUCGGAGCUUAACACCAAGUUGAAAGAGGAGGGCAGGUAUUCCGUGGUGGAGGCAUGAGGAUGAGAUCGUAAUCGUAAAGCGACGCCACGGGUACUGAAUAACUUCAAGCUAUCUGCUGGCAAGGACCACUCUGCCUACUUUUUACCAACACAGAAAUUGAAUCCUGUCUACGAGUUAUUGAAGUAUUGUUUUACUGCCAGAGAUUCUUGCAAUGCGCAAGGCGCCAUCUGAUUGGAGUGGAAAAAUUAAUGAUUAUCGCAAUUGAUAAUGUGGCGCGAGCGCAACUAUGAUAUAUAUAUAGUACUCGGUCCGCUAUAUAUAUAUGUGAAUUGCGGAUGGCGCGUAGGAGCGCCACAUCAGUUCCGGAGUAAUCUAUGAGGCGUUGAGAGGUGGGUCCUUAUGUGGGCCCUUUUACCUGUCUAUGUGAUGUGUGCGGAGAGCUCAAAUCGGAUAACUGUGCACCCUGGUGAUAGUGCUUAUAUUAUUCACCCUGCACCGCACGCUCACCUUGGAUCUAAGAAGGUGCAUGUCGUACAGACCAUGAGAAGGUUCGGACAUGCUAGUCGUACAGAUCACUAGAUGUGGUUCCGACUGGUAGGUGACCUUAGAUUAUGUGCACAGAUGAUUGAUGAGAGAAGCACUAGAGCUUAUUAUUACACCAUCCUUGUUGUACAGACUACUUCAGGUAGUUCCGACUUAUGUGCAGAGUAGUACCGUACAGGUCACCGUGGUGACUCCGGUUGGUUUGGAUAUUGAGCUAUGGAAUUAACCGUAUAUGACCAAUUGCAGGGUCUCCGGUUGAUUCAUUAUAUCACCUGUUAUAUUGAUGCAUUCUUAAUCUGUUAUUGACAUUUAUGGCAUGACAUAUUUUCUGGGUUUGAUAAAGAAUUGUGAUUUGAGAUAUUCGAAGAUUAUAUGCAUAUUAUGUUAUUUUCUGGGAAAAUAUACAGGUUUUACAGCGAGAGGUUAGAAAUGUUUUAAAUGAAAUGUUUUUUGAAAAAAAUUUGGUUUUACUCGACCCAAUCUCCAAUUUUUUGAUUAUCCAUGAAAAUCUUGUCCCAUCUUAACAAGUAUUUUCAAUAUAGUUCAUCCUUAUGUCAAACAUAAUGAGGUGUGUCUCGCACUGAAAAAGAAUGUAGUGAGAGUCACAACUAUGAAGCUCCACAUGGUGUUUUGAAUCAAGACCUUUUCAUUAUUUUCAAUGACCACCACUUCUAGUUAAUUUCUAUGUAUUUGAACCAAAAUUUUAUAAAUUUAUACUCUUAAAAAACAUAUAUAUAUAUUAUAAAAAGUGGAAGGAUAAUUUUGGAGUUGACACGUUAAAUCUUAUCUGUUUAUGAGGCACCCGUCAGGACAUCCGAGCUCCCUGCCGGGUGUCCGGUAGCAAGUUUUUGUUAUGAAUGUAGCUAAAACAAAAAAGGCAGAAGAAUAGGCUACAUUAGACAAAUGUACACUUAUGCUAAACACUGAGGUGUACCAAUAUAAGUUUCACAGACGAUUAAGAAUGUAGAGUAGGUGCUAUCAUAUACACAUUAAAUACUUACUAUUAUGAAUAUUUAGGCCAAAUAGGGGUCGCGUAGGUUGCAUAUUUAUCUGACAUACAUGAUCACGUUGUGUAAAAUUUGUAUGUUUAUAUGCAUAUCUGGCGGUUAAUUAUCUCAAUAAUGUCACACUUGUGUGUCGCGCAUCGCACUAUUUAUGUUUAGAGGGCUAGACUAGCGCUCACUUAUGUGUGAGACCAUGAUUCAUGCGCCUGUGAUUCUAGGAUCGGUGGUUGUUAUCAAGAAAAUUAGGAGCAAGUAAAGUUGUGUAAAAGUUAGAAUAUAGGAUAUAAAACAAUAACAAAAAAAAAAAUAAGGGAUUAACCUCAUAGUUUUAUGGGGAUUUUGAAUUUCCUAUUUGUGAUGGAAAUCAACGAUUAUAAUAAUGAUUUAGAGUUCAUUAAGCAUAUUAAUCAUAAUAAAAUUGGUAGCACAUGAGUUGGGUUAUGGGAACUAAGAGUUGUAUAAUAACAGUUUGACAACCACAACAUUCUAUAAGAUGAUAUGAUUGAGUAGACGAGAGCAUCCUGUAAUGCAUUAAUAGCCUUGUUGUAUGAAGGUUAAUGUAGGUGUGAGAGAGCCUCCACCAAUUUAAGAAAUUGGUGAGUAAUUAUCUGCUCAUUACAUAUUCUUUAUCUACCAUAUGUAUAGGGAAUAUAGAAGAACCUGUGGAGAUGGUAACACCCACCAGGGUCUACAUUCUAGUGCUAUCUAAUGCAGAUGUAUCGUUAUAUAUAUACCAUUUGCCGUAUAGGUGUUAAUUUUGUUGCGGUAAUUUUAGCGAGUGUUCGCUGGCAGUUCCUAAACUGUUGAAUUUGUAUAAAGUGUUUUACCGGCAUAGAAUUUGGGUUCCCUGUUUUUAGUUUUGAGGUCUGGAGUUUUUUGGUCGUUUAAAAGUUAAAAAAGAGACUUCUUUACGACAAGGGAGUUUGGAUGCAAUUUAUGAGGUUUAAUAGUUCUUGGCGGUAACCUUGCGAACCAUUUUUUCAAUAUAUAUCAGACUCCCUUCAUCUUUUAACUAGGUUUAUGUAUGUUAGUUUCGAGGUUUAUUGGCUUCAUAAUUAGCUGGCGCAAUACUCUCCAUAGUAAUUUUAACUUUUAAUGUUAGUUUCCAUACUGCAAGGUAUUAGGCAAAAAAUAAUUUUUAUGAUUGAGAGCUUUUUAUACACCUAAAUUUGUUUGAGAGAAUAGGUAUUAUGAGCUACCGUUUGAUGAGGGUCACCCUCUGAGGAUUCUCAUUCUUUAUAACACAAAACUCACUGCGGGACACAUCGUUAUGAGGUAUAUAUUUCGAGAUGACUACAUGUUUUUUCGUCAGCAUAGAAUUGAUAGAAGUAAAAAAUAUUGCUGGGCAAGUGCAGGCCCUUGGCCACAUAUAUUAUGAAAAAGAUAGAUUUAGAAGAGUUUGAAUUAGUAUUCAUAUCACAAUUCGUUAACAUUGUAUGUGAUGCGCUACUAUCCUACCGGCAUCAUUUUAGCGACUCUAUUUAAACAUAAAUUUAAAGAGGUUUAUAAUACUGAAAGCGUAAUUUGUACGCGUUAGCCACAAGAGGUAUAGAUUACAUCUACAUUCCUCUCUCGUAAAGUAAGUGAGCAGUAUUGUUUUUUUUUUGCGCGUGGCUUGUACGAGUUUGUGGUUGGCAAGGUGGCUUAAAAAGUCAGUCGUUGUGAAUUUAUUGAUUAAUGGUGUUCAGAGUGUGUUUUUGUCCUCACGAGGCAUAAAGAAGCGCAUGGAGGGAAUAAUUUGCUAAGAGGAGAAAAUAGAAGAAUGAGAAGAAAUAAUGUAGUCGACAGAGACUAUCAGUUAAGAAAGUGCCUAGAACAAACAGGCUAAGGCUCACUUUUAGAUUUGGAGUGCAACAUUAUAAUAUGUGUGAUAUCUUAGUAGUCAAAAAUGAUGAGGAAUUUGAGUGAUGCUUUUUUAAUACUUUGUAUUUAGCAUAAAGGUCAAAACUCAUUGUGAUGUCUUGUGAAGAUAAUCUCGUAGAUUGCAAUAUGGCGCUAUUCAGAGACCUAAAUCACGUAAAAUUAUUUGGGUUUGGAUUUUCUGUGUGCCAAAACGAGAUGUUUGUUACCGCUUCAGAAAAUGAGUAUUAUUGAGAGCAAAGAGAGAGAUUUUUUCUUUAUGAGCACAUUACUUAAAGACGAGAUGAAGUACGCUAUGAGAACAGCCAGAAAACUUAUUCAUUUUGUUUAGUUAUGUUGGUAUCAUUUUUUUUUUCGGCCUUAGUUUGCAUAUUAUAUGUUCGCGAGAGAGUUGCCGGCAGUACAUAUUCAUAGAUAUCCUAUGGAAUUUAUUUGAUCAUUUCAAAUUUAUAUUUUCUUAUAUCUAAUCGUUUAUUUCUCUCUCAUCUCUCUGCGAAUACUACAGGAGGUCAGGCAAGUAAGAAUCUAAUUAGGCCACUAACAGAAAACCAAAGGGCUCAUAUCACAGGCCAUCUUUCUUAAUUCAAAUCCCCAUCUCCUCAAUCCUAAACGUCAUAAAUUACGGAAAUGCAUUUACCUCAACAUGACAGAAGUUGUGAGAAUUGAUCCAAUGAAACCAAAAUGAGAAGAUCAAUAAAGGUGCAAUUGCGGAUCACAAGAGUUAACAGCAUUUCAGCAGCUUAAUGCUCAGCAAACACACUGCUUCUUGGCAGGAGGGAAAAAGCAACAAAGGAGAACAUAAGAACCAAUUAUAGCUCUACGAGUUACUUGUCAAGCAACAUUCGCUCUAAUAGCGAACCAAAAAACAACAUCGCUCGAGGCAUCAAAUUUUCAAUUGAAGAAGUUUGUUUUGUGUCCCAAAUGAAUUAUUAGUUUCAUGAAUAGAUGACCUGGCAGUUGAAUAAUGAGGCAGCUAGAGCAUUAAUAGUCAGAGAAAAGUGUAGAUAGUGCUUGCACAUAAAUGGAGAAUGCAGUCAUCAGAGUAUUGCAGGUAUUACUUAUAGAAAAAAGUUGUGCACGAUACACGAAGUGGAGCAAGAUUGUUGAAUUCAUAUUGCCAAUACUCCCAUUCAAGGUUCAUUAUUAACCAAUCUAUACUUCGUUCAAUUUACAAGGGAAUUUCAAAUAAUUAUAGACAUCGAUUCGCUAUAAAACUCAAAUCAAGCCGGCAUCAGUGGAGGAUUCCUUGAAAGAAUAGACGCGGUGAGUGUGGGGUAGCUAGAUCGAUCUAAAGCCAACGGUACGCAACGAAGAAUAGUGUUUUUAUUAAACCUCUGAGAGAGACACAAGGCGUUAGCACACCUUACCCUGAAUGUCCUCACAGAUUUGAGCCAGCACUGCACAUUUAUCGAGAAGGAUGAAUGCAACACGUUGCACAACCGAGAGCACUGGAUCUAGCUGCUCUUUGGGGAACACCAUACAAACUGAAAUAGACAUGUAAUAACAGCCAGGGAGGACAGACGCUCUGAUAAAGAGUAAGAAGUGAGAAAGCACAAAAUUCAAAAAAAGACAUCCGACCAAAAUUUUCAGAUCUAUAACAAAAUGUACCUCAGAAAACUCCAGUUUUAAACUAUCGAGCGCAAAAGGAUGCAGAAUGACAGAGAACACUGCGAGAGAGAGCGGAUCGAUACGAACCGGAGAAUAUUGAGACUGGGAACAGCAUACCGCUGAUAGUGGCUAUUAGAGUUAUAUUGUCUUCACUGGUCUAGGGGUUGGUGGUAGAACCUGGCCUGUGAGCGUACUUGCAUAGAGGAGGCUAACCCGCGACGGCCAACACUCGAUGGAACGUGUACUCUCAUAAAGGGGAUCAAGGAGUUAGAGCGCCUAGGGUAUAUGUGGGCCGUGGUACCACACCAUUCCUUCAGGCUAGGUGCGAGUGACGAGUUAUAGGGGCGUAAAAAGUAUGGUGAUGUAUCCACGAAAAGCGAUAUCAUGGGGAGAGGUGAGUUCAGAGCCCACAUUUACUAAAUUUUGUGAAAAAGCCGAAACACAUGGCCGUAACUACCAGGAAUAAGGUGGAAUAGUCCUGCCCUUCAGACGAGUGUUAGAAGAAGAGCAGUCGAAUAUGGGCACACAAGAGUCAUCUUUUUAGGGGCAAGUCUUGAAUUUCGAGCUUCUAUAAAGCCGAAGCGUUCACAGGACCUAUAGGUAUGUCGCGUUGUAAUAUGUCGAACAAUUUUAAGGACAGAUUGAUUUAAAAUUGUCUCCACAUAUUGAUGUUUUGAAGUUAUGUGCCUUUGGGGAACUCAUAAUAAUAGGUGUAGUAUGCCACUAGCGCUCGCUGAACUUGCAGGUGUGGAACUUGCUUCCCUCGCUAGGAUAAUUGGUUCUCUUGAUCUAGUGCGUAAACGAACAUACCCCUCUCCCGAAAACAAUGUAUGCACUCAAACAGGUACCUUGCUAACUAAUUCUGAUCACGUAACGACUAUCUAGAGAGAUAAGCCGGGCUUUGGCUAGGUACAUUUCCCUACACUCUGAGCUGCUAGAACAGAGUAGAAGAAAGCUUAUAAGCAGUGCUCUAUCAUGCGCUACUUGGCGCCUCGGUGGGUCUUUGCUUUUUUUCCUGAAAUCCCAGUGAUACACAUGGAAGUAGAUUUAAAAAUAAGUAGUAAUUUAAGACAUAAACCAACCAAAAAACCGAAAACGCUGGAUUGCACUUCUGUGUAUGUUGAUACCAUUCAAAGCCAUUGAGUGAAGACUCACGUGAGAGUAUCUACAUAUUUCAGUGACACACACCUCGACCCCUCAUAUAGAUGAGAAACCUAGUCUGCCAAAAUAAUGGGAGAACUACGCAACGCAUUACUGCGACUUCUUGACAGCUCAACUAUAGCCCUCGAUCGCUGACCGCCAGGAAGUCCCGCUCUCGCCAUCGUCCGAUUUUAAAUCUGUACGCUCAAUCGUAGAGCGUUGCUUGAAACACAAUCUGGGCUCCACCUUUUGCGCGUCCAUGGUGAGGACAAUAUGUAAAUAAUAGACUUGCAAAUUAUAUCUAUAUAAGAAAGGGUUUUAUCCAUCUAGGUUAAUACUCCCACUAUGCAUCCAGCAAAUUCGAUAUCUUUAUCCCAAACAAUAUAUCCCUGCGAAAGCAUAUCUCGAACUAAACGUUGAUCAAAGACAUCAUGCUCAAAUUUUCUUAGUACAUAUUUGUAAUUAUAUUAAAUUAGCAAUUUACUGUGGAAAUGUAUAACUUUAAGCGUGUAGGAAUAUCGAACUUCGAUUAUGCUAAUCUAAUAAAUUGUCGUCAUAUUUAUGCAUAAUGUCAAUAUAUUCUAACUCUUUGAUGCUUAAGGUAGGAUAUUAGUGAAAAUAGGAAGCGACUUUAUGGGGAGAUGUUUUGAAUCGAUGUUGCAUCUGAACUCAUGGAAUAACCUAUGAUGAUCCUGCUGUCGAGCUUUAUCCUCUACUCAAAAAUCCGGAGACUUAACCUUGAUGUUAAUUUCACUGCAAUCAUCCACAUCAGCAAUGUUAUUUUCCACUCUGAAUAUGUGAGUGAAUGAGUAAUUUGAUCUUGAGUAUGUAUAAUUACCUAAUGUUAAUAAAAGCUAUCUGAAUAUGCUAUGUAUGAGGAGAGCUUUACUUGGAGUCAUUGGUUCUUAAAUAUUUAAAAUGUCUCUAUAUGGGGCUUACUAUUGAUCAUUUCUAUGCCUAUAAUGGAUGGUAGAGGUUGGAUGAUUCAUAGAUUAUUACAUAGGGAGAUUCUUGGAGAUUAAUCACACUGCUAAGAUUACCAUUCUACCACUAUCGCGUUGCCCUAAGAACUUCCGGAGAACAUCUCCAUAGGUGAAGUCCAGGAUUCCAGGUGAGCAGAGAAGAUAGUGUAAUAAAAGGGGAGAGUCAACAUUCUGAGGUUAGCUUGGGUCAUCUCACUUCGUAAUCUCACAGAGAGUCAUUGUAUUCAGGUUGACAGUACCACUGCUACAAUUUGUUAGUGUUGGCCUCUCUCAAUAGUAUUCAUUAUAGUCCAAAUGGUUAUGACCACUUUACAAGAAGUCAAAUAUCCAGUCGAUUUGGAAUGUUAUGUAGAAAGGUUUGGCUAUUCGAAUUAUUUUCGGAUUGCAAUAAACUUCCUUUGUUUGCUAUUUGGUCUAUUGCUGUCAUCAAUUACUACUCAAGUAUUCCUGCCUUCUUGUCUGGGAAUUGGUAAUUCUUUUGCUAUCUGUGGGUUUAAGUUGGGAUUUUCUCUCUUUGGGAGUGUCUGCACUACGGACUAAUUGUAAUAUUCUGGGGUCUGUUGUGUGAGAAUGUAUAAAAUGGUUAUGAGUUUUCAUUGAUACUUUUUUGGUGUCAGAGGUAUUAGAAUGAAUAAACUAGGUGAGAUAUUUCCCUGGAUUUUCCCUUUGGUUAAUAAAUCCGAUCUUUGUGCAACUUUUAUUGCAUUUCAUGCUUAUGUUCUCACUCAAUUCUCUACAAGCAUAAAAAUAUUGCAAAGUGAUGGUGAGUGGUGAGUACAUUAGCAAACCUCUUCAAUCCUUUCUUCUCAAAAAAGGGCAUUUCCCAUCACAAGUCAUGUCCUUAUACCCCAGAACAAAAUGGCAUGGAUGUACUAAAAUACCUUCACAGUUCUAGUCAUUUGCAUGUCAAACAACCACCUACCUCAUCAAUAGAAUGCCUACUCCCAUUUUGCAUAACAAGUCUCCUUUUGAAGCUUUAUAUGGUGCUGUUCCAGUGCUUCAUCACUUGAGAACGUUUGGUUGUGCUUGUUACCCUUUCUUAAGACCAUAUACUACUACCAAACUCCAAGCUAAGACUAAGACUACAAUGUGUGUGUUUUGGGGUAUGCGUCCAAAUACAAGGGGUUCUCUGGGCAUUGAGCAUGCUCUGCCGUACAACAAAACAUUCGAUGUAGUUUUAGCAAGUCUUAAUUAAAUAACAACUGAGACAAAUGUCAAUUCUUUCCAUGAUUAAUAGUAGUAGUUCAUAAAUUUGGGACCUUCUUGGCAAGAAAGGGCCGGCGAUGAAGGAUCACCGUUCUUUUUCUCUUCAUUUAUUCUCCCUGUUGUUUCUUUCACACAGAAAUCUAGUUAAAAAGGAGUAAAACAGAGGGUAGUAUUACCAUUGGUACUCAACGGUCAAAUGAUUUCAAAUUUGAGUGAUUUUUGAUAAAGUUGAUGUUUCAGUGAAGAGCUAAAGAUGAACGGUUAAAUCGUUGAAAUACGAUAUAGAGGAAGUCCUACAAACAUCUCUCAAAUAAAAGCUUAGUUGAGGGGUCCCUCCUCAACGGAAGGGGUUGAAACAGAGACGAAAGUGAAUGCAGAGACGGAGAGCUUGAAAUGGAGACAAAAGUGAAUGCGAUUGAUUUUCUCACACAUAAAUUGUCAUAUUAAUGUGAGAUGAGCCUAGGCAUCUGUUACCUGCUAUCAAAUAAUAGUAUAGCCCAUAACUAAUACAUGAAAACUACGAUAACGACCGACCCCGAGUACUCUGACCUCAAUUCAUUCCAACAAAUUCAUACCCUAGUAAUCCAUGCAUUACAACAAGCAAUCCUAAACACAACAUAGAUUUCUUGUGGCCGCCUCGGGUGGAAAAUGUGUUGAAUCAAACUGUGUCUUGAAAAUUACUUCUAAUCCGAAAAAUCAACUCAAGUAUCAAGGGAAAAUCGAGAUUACUAUUUGUAAAUCAGUGCAUCGCGUCCAGGCCCUACACCAAUGUAAUGGACGGGUACACCAAGAAGUUCUUCUAUCGUUUCCACAUAUUGACGUGCGGCCUUCGGAAGGUCGGAGUAAUUUCUGACAGAAGAAAUAUCCGAUUCCCAUCCGGGCAAUUCUUCAUAGUCCACCUGAACAUAGAAAAGCAAUAGCAACAAGUGUUAAAAAUGAACCUUUAUCUUCUAAUAAAAUUCAAUUAAGAUAAAAACAUCAUAUCAUAUCCGAAUAGAAGGGAGAGGCAAGGACAUGCCUCUAAUUGCUCAAGAUCACGAAGGUCUGAAGGGAACGAUUUAAUCGGUGUACCAUCCUUCUGUUUAUAGGCAACACCCAACAGAAUUUUGGGAAGAUCAGACAAAACAUCAAGUUUGGUGAGAUUGAGAGAAGAAAAUCCAUUGAUCUGACAGCAAUACUUCAGUGCUGCCAUAUCAAGCCAACCACAACGACGAGGGCGACCAGUAGUUGUGCCAAACUCCUGACCAGCAGACCUAAGGAGGUCGCCCCCUUGGCCCAAGAUUUCUGUGGGAAAGGGACCAGAACCAACUCUCGUAGUGUAUGCCUUUACCUACAGAAACAACAUCAAGUUAGCAACAUUACCUCACCAUCUCAAUUGGCCUUUUGUACUAACUGCAAGAUUAGCCAUGACCAGUACUACCAUACAGUGCUCUAUCUCCCUUUAAAGAUUUCAACUAGAAAAAUAACAUGAAUCACAGUAGUAAAGACAAAAAUAAUAAAAGAAACCUAUUUGCAGAAAUAGAUUUAGUUCGAAAUAUGUUUAUUCAUGUUGCCCAACCCAAUUGAUUGAAAAUACUCUCUACAACUACCAGAAGUAACCAUCUACUUACCACUCCAACCAGAUCACCUAAAACUCUGGGAGCAAUGCCAAGACCAGUGCAAAUCCCACCCGCUGAAGGGCUAGAGGAUGUUACAAAGGGAUAAGUUCCAAAGUCAAUAUCCAACAUUGUUGCCUGACCCCCUUCAACCAAAAUCUUUUUCUUCUCGGAGAUGGCUUCAUUCACGACAUGCACAGUAUCAGCAAUGAAGGGUUCCAAUCUCUCAGCAAAUCUCUUGUACUUUUCAACUUCUUCUUUUAGCACAUGGGGUCCAUACUCAAAACCUUGGAAUCUUGAUGCAGCAUCUGAUAAUAGAUCAUCUAGCUUCUGAGGAAAAGUAUCCAUGUGCCUCAAGUCACUCACUCGAAUACCAUUUCGGAUAACCUUGUUAGAGUAACAAGGCCCAAUUCCUCUUUUGGUAGUGCCAAUGAAAGAUUCAGAAAGCUCAGAUUCUCGAAGCCCAUCCACUAUUUGAUGGAAAUCAAAUAAGAGGUGUGCACGAUCAGAGACCAAUAUCCUUCCCUUGCAGGAUACCCCAUUAGAUUCAAGGCCAUCAAUCUCUUUAAAGAGCCCUGGAAGAUGCACCACAACUCCAUUUCCAAUAACACAAAGAGUUUCUUCAUUAAGAAUACCUGAGGGAACAAGGUGAAGCGCAAACUUCUUUCCCUCUGCGUUGUAAAUGGUGUGUCCAGCAUUAGCUCCACCCUGAAAAGAUGCAAAAGUCAUCAGAAAACUACACGAUCAGGCUAUGAAAGUGAGAGCUUUUUGUUACCUGACAACGAGCAACGAUGUCAAAGUGUUGGGCUAAGAUGUCGACGAGUUUUCCUUUACCUUCAUCGCCCCACUGGCAGCCCAACACGCCUGAGACCUGGGUUAGCGACUCAAUUCGAUUAAGCCCCUGAUUGGGGGAACCGGACAAACUUAGAGAAGAGGGGGUGGCGACCAAGGGCUUCACUGAGCAUACGACAGUAUUUCUCGAGCGCUGGAGGAGAACGGGCCUGUGGUGUUGGGCCCCAAAGGAACAAGGGGUGGAAAGUGGAUUGGAGUCCAGGGCUGUGAAAGAUGAGAGGUUGUUCAUGGCGAAUACCUGAGUAAGGCUAAGUUUAGGCCAACGUAUUUCCCAAAUUUUACAUACUUGACAGUACGAGUGAAUGUUAUAGAAAUAUAUAAGUGAAAACUACAAAAACAACAUCAUUAUCUUUUUAAAACUAAGCAAAAUUUUAAAUACCCAAAAUUAAAAAAACAAGGUCAAAUCAAGCAGAUAAUUCCCCAUUCGUAAACCCUAAAAAAAACCACGUACCUCCUCGAAUAUAUUGAACAACAGCUUCGAAAAACUUCAAUUUCGUUUGCGUAGUAAUCAAUCAGAGAGCGACGCGAGAAAAACAAAAGAGAAAUUCCGGGAAAAUGUUUGGGGUUUGCUUCUCGUCCUCUGUGGGUCGGACUUCGGAGGACUUGAAGAA